rnacentral:lncRNA from 1 species
UUUUUAACACCUCAUAUAUAGAUCACUUAAUAACACCAUGUACAAAACUCAAGGUGUAACGUUGAAUUAUGUUCUAUAAAGAUUUAUUGCGAAUAGUCAUUCUAAUACACCCCAUGAUAUGGCAUUGUUAUUAUUUUUAGCAAACCUACACUGAUAUUUGCUUAGCUAGUUAACAUCACAUUUUCCUUUAUUGGAGCCUUGGAGUAGUCUAUGCACAUUGUACACCUGCACAAUUUGCCAACAAUAUGAGCCUCCAAAUUGCAUUCCUUGUUCUCAGGGCACGUAAGGAUUCGGUGGCAAUCUUCCUGACAACCACCAAACUUCUUCAGGUAUUUAAACGUACACCUUCGGUUUGUAUCCGCAUGUGCAAAAUAUUACCAACAAGAAGAAAUCCAAAUCAUGAAAAGAACAAUUUUGUUAAUUGGGUUGAUGCAACACUCUUGGAGGAACCGAUUAAACGUACUUGAUGCUAGCACGAGAAAGGCGAGUGUCAGGAGUAGCGUCAAAGCUGCAAUCUUCAUCCUAACUUGUAUGUGGCGUUGGUAGGAAAGUGACUGCUUGUGAGCCUUGAGGAAGAGAAAAUGAUAUGGCAACCAUUUUUAUAGUAGGUUUGAUAUUAAUGCUCAUUAUUGUAAUAAAAAAAUAGCAUGAAAAGAAAGAUUGGAUAAGUUAUGUCGUAUUAAAAGCAAUUAAGUGGACUUUAGGAUAAGAUAUGUACAGACGCUUUGUAGUAGAGCAAGGAAACAAAAUUAAGAGAUUGCACAUUUGAGCAGAGGUUUUCACAUGAAAAAGAUAGAUAAAAGAAAAACAACUAUAUGUACAGUUACUGAGCUCCCUUGAAAUAAGGUCUCCUAGUGAAUCCAGGGUGUGAAAAGUGCAUGGGCCCUGGGUGACAGUGGGUGAGGCGUGUUGGUGGGCAGCUCGGUCCCUUGCAUGUCCAGUUUUCUUGUGUACAUGCGCAGUUCGCUUGCUGGUCCCUUGCAUGUUGGUUCAUCUAGCAAAGAAAGAAAAAGGCCGUUACACACCCAGCUAAUAAAAGAAUCUCAAUGAGCAAAACUGAUUGAACAAAGAAAAUGUUAGGAAUAAAUUAGGAUGUGUCUAUUAUAUUAAUAACUAAAAUGUAUUAAUUAACGAAUCAUCAUUCUUGUGACCAAUCCAAAGUAGUGAUGUCCCUUUUUCUUUUAACAUUUAUAACUGCCAUCUCUUGGAGGCAGCUUCUCCCUAUGUAUAGAUACCUUUUCUAUCAAUGGAAUUAGAGAGGGUAGCUCUCUCUCUCCCUCCCCUCACUAUCUUACUUGCAUUUUUCAGAUAUAUGAUCUUUUACUUUUAUUCAAAUUUACCUCCAUGCUCAAACUUCCCGAAAUGUCACUCAUCCUCACACUACUCCAGCCCAAGCACGCUUAACUUCAGAGUUCUAUCCAACUCCAGCACCAGCUCACUUCACAGGCACUUGUUGAUAUAUCUAGCAUAUCAAUCCUAUUAAACCUUGUUGAUGUUUAGGACUUUGUUCAUGUUCAUGAGUGUGAUGAAAUUUUGAAAUAUUAUUGAAAACUUCCGUUCAUAUUACGUAUCAUAUUUUGAAAAAAAAUCCCGAAAAACAUUCGAAACUAAUUUUUUUUCUGUUACUAGUGGCGCACCUAGCAAACGGUGCACCACUAGUAAGUUUGAUAUUUUUUGAAAUUUUUUGCCUCUAGAUCUUGAAAGCCCUAUAACUUUUUUUCUGUUAGGUUUUUGAGGAUUUUGAAAAUGUUUAACGGGGUUCCCCCGUUAAGAUCGGAUGUAUUUUUAACGGGGUUCCCCCCGUUAAGAUCGGAAUGCUAAUAUAUUCAAAAAGGAAGGUGGUAUUUUUAACACCUCAUAUAUAGAUCACUUAAUAACACCAUGUACAAAACUCAAGGUGUAACGUUGAAUUAUGUUCUAUAAAGAUUUAUUGUGAAUAGUCAUGCUAAUACACCCCAUGAUAUGGCAUUGUUAUUAUUUUUAGCAAACCUACACUGAUAUUUGCUUAGCUAGUUAACAUCACAGUUUCCUUUAUUGGAGCCUUGGAGUAGUCUAUGCACAUUGUACACCUGCACAAUUUGCCAACAAUAUGAGCCUCCAAAUUGCAUUCCUUGUUCUCAGGGCACGUUAGGAUUCGGUGGCAAUCUUCCUAACAACCACCAAACUUCUUCAGGUAUUUAAACGUACACCUUCGGUUUGUAUCCGCAUCUGCAAAAUAUUACCAACAAGAAGAAAUCCAAAUCAUGAAAAGAACAUUUUUGUUAAUUGGGUUGAUGCAACACUCUUGGAGGAACCAAUUAAACGUACUUGAUGCUAGCACGAGAAAGGCGAGUGUCAGGAGUAGUGUCAAAGCUGCAAUCUUCAUCCUAACUUGUAUGUGGCGUUGGUAGGAAAGUGACUGCUUGUGAGCCUUGAGGAAGAGAAAAUGAUAUGGCAACCAUUUUUAAAGUAGGUUUGAUAUUAAUGCUCAUUAUUGUAAUACAAAAAUAGCAUGAAAAGAAAGAUUGGAUAAGUUAUGUCGUAUUAAAAGCAAUUAAGUGGACUUCAGGAUAAGAUAUGUACAGACGCUUUGUAGUAGAGCAAGGAAACGAAAUUAAGAGAUUGCACAUUUGAGCAGACGUUUUCACAUGAAAAAGAUAGAUAAAAGAAAUACAUCUAUCUAUACAGUUACUAAGCUCCCUUGAAAUAAGGUCUCCUAGUGAAUCGAGGGUGUGAAAAGUGCAUGGGUCCUGGGUGAUGUUACGUCUCCAACGUAUCUAUAAUUUUUGAUUGGUCCAUGCUACUUUAUCUACUGUUUUGGACUAUAUUGGGCUUUAUUUUCCACUUUUAUAUUAUUUUUGGGACUAACCUAUUAACCGGAGGCCCAGCCUAGAAUUGCUGUUUUUUGCCUAUUUCAGUGUUUCAAAGAAACAGAAUAUCAAACGAAGUCCAAACGGAAUGAAACCUUCGGGAACCUGAUUUGCUCAUCGAACGUGAUCCAGGAGACUUGGACCCUGCUCCAAGGAACAAAAGAGGCGGUCAUGAGGGUGGAGGGCGCCUCCCCCCUGGGCGCGCCCCCUGUAUCUUGGGCCCCCUGUUGCUCCACCGACGUACUCCUUCCUCCUAUAUAUACCUUCGUACCCCCGUCAGAUCAAAUACGGAGCCAAAAACCUAAUUCCACCACCGCAACUUUCUGUAUCCGCGAGAUCCCAUCUUGGGGCCUGUUCCGGAGCUCCGCCGGAGGGGGCAUCUACCAUGGAGGGCUUCUACAUCAACACCAUAGCCUCUCCGAUGAAAUGUGAGUUGUUUACCUCAGACCUUCGGGUCCAUUGCUAGUAGCUAGAUGGCUUCUUCUCUCUUUUUGGAUCUCAAUACAAUGUUCUCCGCCUCUCUCGUGGAGAUCUAUUCGAUGCAAUCUUCUUUUUUGCGGUGUGUUUGUUGAGACUGAUGAAUUGUGGGUUUAUGAUCCAACUUAUCUAUGAAUAAUAUUCGAAUCUUCUCUGAAUUCUUUUAUGUAUGAUUGAGUUAUCUUUGCAAGUCUCUUCGAAUUAUCCGUUUGGUUUGGCCAACUAGAUUGGUAGUUCUUGCAAUGGGAGAAGUGUUUUGCUUUGGGUUCAAUCUUGCGGUGUCCUUACCCAGUGACAGAAAGGGUUGCAAGGCACGUAUUGUAUUGUUGCCAUCAAGGAUAACAAUAUGGUUUUUUUAUCGUAUUGCAUGAAUUUAUCCCUCUACAUCAUGUCAUCUUGCUUAAGGCGUUACUCUGUUUUUAACUUAUUACUCUAGAUGCAUGCUGGAUAGCGGUCGAUGAGUGGAGUAAUAGUAGUAGAUGCAGAAUCAUUUCGAUCUACUUGUCUCGGACGUGAUGCCUAUACACAUGAUCAUACCUAGAUAUACUCAUAAUUAUGCUCAAUUCUGUCAAUUGCUCAACAGUAAUUUGUUCACCCGCCCUAGAAUACUUAUGCUCUUGAGAGAGGCCACUAGUGAAACCUAUGGCCCCCGGGUCUAUUCUCAUCAUAUCAAUCUCCAUUACUUUAUUUACUUGCUUUGUUUUUACUUUGCCUUUUACUUUUUACUUUGCAUCUCUAUACCAAAAAUAGCAAAAAUAUUAUUUAUCAUCUCUAUCAGAUCUCACCCUCGGAAGUGACCGUGAAGGGAUUGACAACCCCUAAUCGCAUUGGUUGCGAGUAGCUAUCGUUUUGUGUAGGUACGAGGGACUCGUGCGUCAUCUCCUACUGGAUUGAUUCCUUGGUUCUCAAAAACUGAGGGAAAUACUUACGCUACUUUACUGCAUCAUCCUCUUCUCUUCGGGGAAAUCCAACGCAGUGCUCAAGAGGUAGCAAGAAGAAUUUCUGGCGCCGUUGCCAGGGAGUUUGCGCAAAGUCAACUUUACCAAGUACCCAUCACAAUCCCUAUCUCUCGCAUUACAUUAUUUGCCUCUCGUUUUCCUCUCCCCCACUUCACCCUUGCCGUUUUAUUCGCCCUCUCCUUUUUGUUUGCCUUCUUCCCGUAUGUAUCUUUGUUUGUGUUUCCUUGUGCCUUUUAUAUGCUUGCAUCUUUGUUUGCUAAAAAUCUAUUGAUAUGGAUCCACUUAAAGUGUUCUACUUGGAUCAUCUUCGAUCCUCAUGCGCUCAUGCUGAAACCCCAACUAGCCUAGUUGAUGGGAAAUCUUUAGAUGAGCAUGCUCAUUUUGUGCGUCAUCGUUUAUCUGAAAAAGGGAGACUCUUACGGUAUCAUAUAAAUAGUUUGCUAUGCUAUGCUUGGAAUCUUUGUGAAAUGUGUGAUUUUACUUGUUGCUCUAAGAACCCUAAAAAACACCUUCCCUACCUAUGUGAGUUCAAUGAUAAUGAAAUCUUAUCUUCUUAUGCAAAGGGUGUUUAUAGUUACUAUGAUAUCGAACAAAUUGAAGAAUUUGUCGUUUUAAGGGUGCUCAUGAAGUUGCUUCUUUGAUUGAAAAGUAUGAUUUUACUCCCAACAAAUCUGAAAAUUCCGUCAUACUUAAAUAUUGCAAUGAAAACCUUGCUUAUAAUGUCCAAGAAUUUUUUGAAAGAAUGACCGUUGCUUUGGAAGAAAAUAAUGAUAUGCAUGAAUCUAUAGAUAAUGAUGAUUCCAAUGAUUUGAUUUGAAUAUCCCUUGAUGAACAUGAUGCUUUCUAUUCUUGUGGCCAUGAAGCCAAUAUUUAUGAAGACGAAUUUGCUAUAGUUCCUUAUGUUAAAAAUGAGAUCGUUGCUAUUUCACCCAUGCUUGAUAGCUCCCUCAAUGAAAAGCAUGAUUUAAAUUAUUUUACUAUAAAUUCUCUUGAUGUCAAUUGUUCUAAUAAUAUGCAAAACCCUAAUCUUGGGGAUGCUAGUUUUGCUAUGUCUACUACUUGUUGCAAUGAUCAUGAUUGGGGUGAUCCUUCUUAUGAUCUUGAAAAUUUAUUCAAUCCCCAUGAUGAAUAUGAGAUUGAUAACAUUGUUUGCAAUCAUAUUAAAAGUGGUCGUGGAAGAGUGUCAACUUUAGAUCCCACAUAUUUGGAGAAUAUUCAAUCUUAUGAAAUUUUUGAUAAAAGUGGGUUUGGAGAGGUCAUGACUUUAGUUAAUGUUAAUCCCACUAUUUUGGAAGAGUGUCAACUUUGCAUGCAUGUGGAUCGUGUUGAGCAUAUGUUUUGUGAUAGCUAUAUUGUUGAAGUUGCUUAUGAUUCAACAUGUAAUUAUUAUGAGAGAGGAAAAUAUGGUUGUAGAAAUUUUCGUGUUGCUAAAUUACCUCUCGUCAUGUUGAGAUGGCUAUCGUCUCUUUCUUCUUCCUUGCAUAUGCUAGUUUUUGCUUGCCUUGCAAAUUUGUUUGAUUAUAAUAUGCCUAUGCAUAGGAAGUAUGUUAGACUUAGAUGUGUUUUUCACGUGUUUCAUGAUGCUCUCUUUGUGCUUCAAUUCUUGUCUUUCAUGUGAGCAUCAUUAAAAUAAUCAAUGCCUAGCUAGGGGCGUUAAACGAUAGCGCUUGUUGGGAGGCAACCCAAUUUUAUUUUUUGUUUUUUGUUUUUGUUCCUAUUUAGCGUUAAAUUUUGUUUCUACCCUCUGUUUGGAUGUGGUUUUAUGUUUUAAUUAGUGUUUGUGCCAAGUAGAACCUAUAGGAUAAGCUAUGAUCAUAGUUGAUUUGAUUCUGCUGAAUAACAGAAACUUUGCGCUCACGAGAAAAAUUCAGUAAAUCACAGAAACGUGAUUUUGCAUUGAUUCUUUUUGCUGCUGAUCAAUAAACAAAUUGUCCAGUACGUCAUAUUUUGGUAGAAUUUGUAGAGUCCCAGAAGUUUGCUUUAGUUACAGAUUGCUACAGACUGUUCUGUUUUUGACAGAUUCUGUUUUUCGUGUGUUGUUUGCUUAUUUCAAUGCAUCUAUGACUAAUAAAUUAGUUUAUAAACCAUAAGGAAGGUGGAAUACAGUAAUAACACCAAUAUAAAUAAAGAAUGGGUUUAUUGCAGUACCUUAAAGUAGUCUUUUGUUUUCUUUCACUAACGGAGCUCUCGAGAUUUUUAUUGAGUUUUGUGUUAUGAAGUUUUCAAGUUUUGGGUGAAUUCUUUUGAUGGAUUAUGGAACAAAGAGUGGCAAGAGCCUAAGCUUGGGGAUGCCCAUGGCACCCCCAAGAUAAUCCAAGGACACCAAAAGGUCAAAGCUUGGGGAUGCCCCGGAAGGCAUCCCCUCUUUCGUCUACUUCCAUCGGUAAUUUACUUGGAGCUAUAUUUUUAUUCACCACGUGUUAUGUGUUUUGCUUGGAGCGUCUUGUACUAUUUGCGUCUUUGCUUGUUAGUUUACCACAAUCUUCCUUGCUGUACACACCUUUUGAGAGAGCCAUACACCAAUUGGAAUUUGCUAGAAUACUCUAUGUGCUUCACUUAUAUCUUUUGAGCUUGAUAGUUUUGCUCAUAGUGCUUCACUUAUAUCUUUUGAGCGUGAUAAUUUUUGCUCUAGUACUUCACUUAUAUCUUUUAGAGCACGGUGGUGGAUUUGUUUUAAAGAAACUAUUGAUCUCUCAUGCUUCAUUUAGAUUAUUUUGAGAGUCAUUAAUAGCAUGGUAAUUUGCUUAAUGUUAAUAUACUUGCUAUUCAAGAUAUGUGAAACUUUCUUUUGAGUGAAUUGAAUACUAAGAUAAGUUUGAUGCUUGAUAAUUGUUUUGUGAUUUGGAGGUGAUAAUAUCAAAGUCGUGCUAGUUGGGUGAUUAUGAAUUCAAAGAAUGCUUGUGUUGAAGUUUGCAAGUCCCGUAGCAUGCACGUAUGGAUAAAGUUGUGUAACAAUUUGAAACAUGAAGUGUACCUGGCUUGUGCAUCCUUAUGAGUGGCGGUCGGGGACGAGCGAUGGUCUUUUACUACCAAUCUAUCCCCCUAGGAGCAUGCGUGUAGUACUUGAUUUUUGACGACUUCUAAAUUUUUGCAAUAAGUAUAUGAGUUCUUUUGACUAAUGUUGAGUCCAUGGAUUAUACACACUCUCACCUUUCCGCCUUUGCUAGCCUCUUCGGUACCGUGCAUUGCCCUUUCUCGCCUUGAGAGUUCGUGCAAACUUCGCCGGUGCAUCAAAACCCCGUGAUACGAUACGCUCUAUCACACAUAGACCUCCUUAUAUCUUCCCCAAAACAGCCACCAUACCUACCUAUCAUGGCAUUUCCAUAGCCAUUCCGAGAUAUAUUGCCAUGCAACUUCCAUCAUCAUCAUCAUGACAUACAUUACUUUUGUCAUAUUGCCAUUGCAUGAUCAUGUAGUUGACAUCGUAUUUGUGGCAAAGCCACCAUGCAUUAUUUUUCAUACAUGUCACUCUUGAUUCAUUGCACCAUCCCGGUACACCGCCGGAGGCAUUCAUAUAGAGUCAUAUCUUGUUCUAAGUUUCGAGUUGUAAUCCUUAUGUUGUAAUCAAUAGAAGUGUGAUGAUCAUCAUUAUUAGAGCAUUGCCCAAACAAAAAAAAGAAAGAGAGGCAAAAAAAAUAGAAAAAAAAGUCCAAUGCUACUAUCUCUUUUUCCACACUUGUGCUUCAAACCAGCACCUUGUUCCUCAUGUAGUGAGUCUCAUAUAUUGUGCUUUAAAGUAGCACCUUGUUCUUCAUGUAGUGAGUCUCAUAAAGUUGUCCUUUUCAUACUAGUGGGAUUUUUUCAUUAUAUAACUUGGCUUGUAUAUUCCUACGAUGGGCUUCCUCAAAUGCCCUAGGUCUUCAUGAGCAAGCGAGUUGGAUGCACACCCACUAGUUUUCUUUUGUUGAGCAUUCAUAGCUCUAGUGCAUCCGUUGCAUGGCAAUCCCUACUCCUCAUGUUGACAUCAAUUGAUGGGAAUCUCCAUAGCCCGUUGAUUAGCCUCGUCAAUGUUAGACUUUCUCCUUUUUUGUCUUCUCCACACAAUCCCCAUCAUCAUAUUCUAUUCCACCCAUAGUGAUAUAUCCAUGGCUCGCGCUCAUGUAUUUCUUAAAGGUUGAAAAAGUUUGAGAUUAUUUGAGUAUGAAACAAUUGCUUGGCUUUUCAUCGGGGGUAUAGAAGUUGGGAACAUCUUUGUGUGACGAAAAUGAAGCAUAGCCUAACUAUUUGAUUUUGUAGGGAUGAACUUUCUUUUGCCAUGCUAUUUUGAGAAGACCUGAUUGCUUUGAUUAGUAUAUGCUUGAAGUAUUAUUAUUUUUGUGUCAAUAUGAACUUUUGUCUUGAAUCUUUCGGAUCUGAAUAUUCAUAUCACAAUUAAGAAGAUUUACGUUGAAAUUAUGUCAAAGUAUCACUCCGCAUAUAAAAAUUCUUUUUUUAUCAUUUACCUACUCGAGGACGAGUAGGAAUUAAGGUUGGGGAUGCCUGAUACGUCUCCAACGUAGCUAUAAUUUUUGAUUGCUCCACGCUACUUUAUCUACUGUUUUGGACUAUAUUGGGCUUUAUUUUCCACUUUUAUAUUAUUUUUGGGACUAACCUAUUAACCAGAGGCCCAGCCCAGAAUUGUUGUUUUUUGCCUAUUUCAGUGUUUCGAAGAAACAAAAUAUCAAACGGAGUCAAAAUGGAAUGAAACCUUUGGGAACGUGAUUUUCCAACCGAACGUGAUCCAGGAGACUUGGACCCUGCUCCAAGGAACGAAAGAGGCGGUCACGAGGGUGGAGGGCACUCCCCCUGGGCGCGCCCCCCUGCCUCGUGUUGCUCGACCGACGUACUCCUUCCUCCUAUAUAUACCUACGUACCCCCGUCAGAUCAAAUACGGAGCCAAAAACCUAAUUCCACCACCGCAACUUUCUGUAUCUGCGAGAUCCCAUCUUGGAGCCUAUUCCGGAGCUCCGCCGGAGGGGGCAUCUACUACGGAGGGCUUCUACAUCAACACCAUAGCCUCUCCGAUGAAGUGUGAGUAGUUUACCUCAGACCUUCUGGUCCAUAGCUAGUAGCUAGAUGGCUUCUUCUCUCUUUUUGGAUCUCAAUACAAUGUUCUCCCCCUCUCUCGUGGAGAUCUAUUCGAUGUAAUCUUCCUUUUUGCGGUGUGUUUGUUGAGACUGAUGAAUUGUGGGUUUACGAUCCAACUUAUCUAUGAAUAAUAUUUGAAUCUUCUGUGAAUUCUUUUAUGUAUGAUUGAGUUAUCUUUGCAAGUUCCUUCGAAUUAUCCGUUUGGUUUGGCCAACUAGAUUGGUAGUUCUUGCAAUGGGAGAAGUGUUUAGCUUUGGGUUCAAUCUUGCGGUGUCCUUACCAAGUGAAAGAAAGGGUUGCAAGGCACGUAUUGUAUUGUUGCCAUCGAGGAUAACAAGAUGGGGUUUUUAUCAUAUUGCAUGAAUUUAUCCCUCUACAUCAUGUCAUCUUGCUUAAGGCGUUACUCUGUUUUUAACUUAAUACUCUAGAUGCAUGAUGGAUAGCGGUCGAUGAGUGGAGUAAUAGUAGUAGAUGCAGAAUCGUUUCGAUCUACUUGUCUCGGACGUGAUGCCUAUACACAUGAUCAUACCUAGAUAUAAACAUAAUUAUGCUCAAUUCUGUUAACUGCUCAACAGUAAUUUGUUCACCCGCCGUAGAAUACUUAUGCUCUUGAGAGAAGCCACUAGUGAAACCUAUGGCCCCCGGGUCUAUUCUCAUCAUAUCAAUCUCCAUUACUUUAUUUACUUGCUUCGUUUUUACUUUGCCUUCUACUUUUUACUUUGCAUCUCUAUAUCAAAAAUACCAAAAAUAUUAUUUAUCAUCUCUAUCAGACCUCACCCUCGUAAGUGACCGUGAAGGGAUUGACAACCCCUAGUCGUGUUGGUUGCGAGUAGCUAUCGUUUUGUGUAGGUACGAGGGACUCGUGCGUCAUCUCCUACUGGAUUGAUACCUUGGUUCUCAAAAACUGAGGGAAAUACUUACGCUACUUUACUGCAUCAUCCUCUCCUCUUCGGGGAAAUCCAACGCAGUGCUCAAGAGGUAGCAGGUGACAGUGUGGGCAGCUCGGGGAAAUCCAACGCGUGUUGGUGGGCAGCUCGGUCCCUUGAGUGUCCAGUUUUCUUGUGUACAUGCACAGCUCGCUUGCUGGUCCGUUGCAUGUUGGUUCAUCUAGCAAAGAAAGAAAAAGGCCGUUACCACACCCAGCUAAUAAAAGAAUCUCAAUGAGCAAAACUGAUUGAACAAAGAAAAUGUUAGGAACAAAUUAGGAUGUGUCUAUUAUAUUAAUAACUAAAAUGUAUUAAUUAACGAAUCAUCAUUCUUGUGACCAAUCCAAAGUAGUGAUGUCCCUUUUUCUUUUAACAUUUAUAUCUGCCAUCUCUUGGAGGCAGCUUCUCCCUAUGUAUAGAUACCUUUUCUAUCAAUGGAAUUAGAGAGGGUGGCUCUCUCUCUCCCUCCCCUCACUAUCUUACUUGCAUUUUUCAGAUAUAUGUUCUUUUACUUUUAUUCAAAUUUACCUCCGUGAUCAAACUUCCGGAAAGGUCACCCAUCCUCACCCUACUGCAGCCCAAGCACGCUUAACUUUAGAGUUCCAUCCAACCCCAGCACUAGCUUACUUCACAGGCACUUGUUGAUAUAUCUAGCAUAUCAAUUCUAUUAAACCUUGUUGAUGUUUAGGACUUUGUUCAUGUUCAUGAGUGUGAUAAAAAAUUUAAAAAUUAUUUCAAACUUCCGUUCAUAUUACGUAUCAUAUUUUGAAAAAAAAAUCCCCGAAAAAAAUUUGAAACUAUUUUUUUUCUGUUAUAAGUGGGGCACCUAGCAAACGGUGCGCCACUAGUAAGGUUGAAAUUUUUUGAUUUUUUUUGCCUCUAGAUCUUGAAAGCCCCGUAACUUUUUUUCUGUUAGGUUUUUGAGGAUUUUGGAAAUGUUUAACGGGGUUCCCCCUGUUAAGAUCGGAUUGGUAAUAUAUUCAAAAAGGAAGGUGGUAUUGUUAACGCCUCAUAUAUAGACCACUUAAUAACACGAUGUACAAAACUCAAGGUGUAACGUUGAAUUAUGUUCUAUAAAGAUUAAUUGCGGAUAGUCAUUGUCGGUGUCAAAACCGGCGGAUCUCGGGUAGGGGGUCCCGAACUGUGCGUCUAGGCGGAUGGUAACAGGAGACAAGGGACACGAUGUUUUUACCCAGGUUCGGGCCCUCUCGAUGGAGGUAAAACCCUACUCCUAUCUGGACACGGGACGAAGUCUUCAAUCUUGUAUCUUCAUAGUCCGGGAGUCCGGCCAAAGGUCAUAGUCUGUCCAUCCGGACACCCCCUAAUUCGGGACUCCCUAAGUAGCCCCUGAUCCAGGCUUCAAUGACGACGAGUCCGGCGCGCAAAUUGUCUUCGGCAUUGCAAGACGGGUUCCUCCCCCGAAUACUUCAUAAAAGGUGUUGAACACAAGGAUAGUGUCCGGCUCUGCAAAAUAAGUUCCACAUACCACUGUAGAGAGAAUAAUAUUUACACAAAUCUAAUCUGCUGAGGUAUUCCGUAGCAUGUCAUGCUACGACCAAGCCUUUAUUCGAAUCGUUUUACUGUCCCACCUCAGCGCGUUUAGCGAGGCGGUUUCCUUGGCACGUCUUGUCAAAGCAGAGAUCGUGUCCCCUUAUUGCGGGAUUCUCAUCAAUACGGGCGUGGGUAACCCAACCGCGCCAUUAAUCGCGGCGCUUGGGAGAUAAGCGAGUUUUACCAGGCUGGCGGGGGCACAUAGUUUCGGCCGCCCAUAUAAGGGGAUAAGGAUCCACCCUUUCAAUCUACGCCUUCUUCCUCCUUUGCUUAUCCAUUCCCGCGCACUCGAGCUCCAGCGCACAAUUCGGAAUUCCCACCUCAACCUUCUCCAAUCAUGUCCGGAGCGGGAGGUAGAUGGAUGGCCUCCACCGUCACGGAGGGGCACAUCAAAAAGUUGAGGAAGGCCGGAUACUUGUCUAACGACAUCGCGCACCGGCUCCCAGAUGAGGGGCAACUCAUCCCCACUCAUAGGCCCCAUGAGAGGGUGGUGUUUCUCACCCAUUUCCUCCACGGACUGGGCUUCCCACUUCACCCAUUUGUCCGGGGGCUCAUGUUCUACUACGGCCUGGAUUUCUAAGAUCUGGCACCGAACUUCAUCCUCAACAUCUCGACGUUCAUCGUUGUGUGCGAGGCCUUCCUCUGCAUCAAGCCUCACUUCGGCCUAUGGCUGAAUAUCUUCAGCGUCAGGCCAAAGGUCGUGGGCGGCCGGCAAGCGGAGUGCGGAGGCGCCAUGGCGGGUAAGAUGCCCAACGUCACAUGGCUCGAGGGCUCCUUCGUGGAACCAUCAAAGGGUGGCAAUCGGGGUGGUUCUACAUCACCGAGCCACGUGACCCUGAACGGGCAGCGGCCCCCAAAUUCCAAUCUGGCAUCCCCACACGGCUCACAUCCUGGAAAGAGACGGGCCUGUUGUGGGGUAAUCCGGAAGAGGUGACCGGACUCCAAACCUGCGUCCAAGACCUGGUGAACAAGAAGGUUAAACUUGUCAACGUAGUCCAGGUCAUGCUCUUCCGCCGGAUCCUCCCGUGUCAACGACGGGCUUUCAACUUGUGGGAGUUCGACCCAGCCCAGCACCAGACUUUGUCCAGGCUCUUCGACACAAAGCACGAGGAUGCCUGGAAGGUGCUAUUCAAGAGCUCCGAGGUCUCCCCUCCCGUCACCGAGGAUCACGGAUUCUGCGCAAAGCGCCAAGCCACCGAAGUAAGCUUGUUUUUGUCCUUUAUAGGACACUUUAUUUUCAUAAUUUGACUCUAUGCAGGAUCUAAACUCCCGCCCCUUUGGCAGGACUGGAAGAGGACGUCCGAACAGUUUGACUGUCUGACCCCUUUGCCCAAAGGCCCAGCAGAUGCAUGCUUGUUGAAGCUGCUGGUCCCGGCAGCUCACGUGGUGCCGGAGAAUAUGGCCAAGAAGAAGGCCACGGGGACUCGAAAGAGUUCCCAGCGCCUGGUGGAGUCGGAUUCAUCGCCCGACGACCCCGAAGCGCACUCCGCCUCUAAAGACGACGAGGAGGAAGAAGAAGCCUCUCCCCCUCCAGCGGGGGGAGGAAAGAAAAGGAAGGCCGCCCCAACUGGGGAGGCCGGAGGGUUCAAGAAGGGGAAGACCCUUCCGGACUAUGCCUCCGACGCCGAUGAUGGUGGAGAGAAUGGCCAUCCAGGGCCAAGCCCCUGGAAAAAUCGUAAGUAUCCGGAUACCAGAAUAACUCAUGGCGUUCCUCUAUUGUACAGUACCUUCUGACGCUGAAUUCAAUCAUGCAGUCCGCCCAAGUCUCAGCUCGGCGAUUUGUCGAGCGGCUCCCUGGAUUCGUCGGAUGUGAAUAGUGCUUAACUCCCGACUGCUACCUCCCCUCGCCCUACGGACGAUGCCGAGAUGGAGUCCUAAAAGGGGCUAAACCAAGAGGAGGUGGUCCUGGAGGUGCCUGAAGGCGACCUCCCGGACUCCAGGCCCAAAGGGGAUGAAUUCCCAGAGGGAUCUAAGUCCGGCCCUGGGCCGGACACAGCUCCGGAACCUUCAGUGAUUCCGGAGUCCGGCAGGCGGCCCCCUCGCAAGAAGAGCAAGCCUACGAUGACGGCGGCCUCCGUCCAACCGGAGGCACCGGACAAUUUGCUGGAGAUGCUUAACGGCGCCUCCAUCGACGAGGAGCACCGCACAGUUAUGAGUGCGGUGAUCCAGAAGGUUCAGUCCGCCAAGAGCGGGCUAACAGAAGCCUGUACCAGCCUUCUAACAGGUUUUGAGGUAUGUAUUUAAAACAUGUAAAAAUGUUACCGCAUAAAUAGUAGCCCCUGAUGCUCAGUUUGGUGUUUGGCAAGAAAAGCCGAACUAAGGAUCUAAAAAGAUAUACGCAGGAGUCUAACAUAAAUCUGUCAAUAUGGGCAUGCAGGCUGCGCUGCUGACCUCUGCCGCACUGACUGCGGAUGUCGAUGCAUUGAAGCAGAGCCUCGAGCGGUCCGAGAAUGACCUCGGCCGUGCCAAGAAGCAGCUCGAGGACAAGGAAGGUAUGUAGUAUCUUAUGUAAGUAUAUAUAAAAAUACCUGGUUGCAAAUAAUGACAGGACGAACAUGAAUGCUACAGGGGCCACAACCCAGGUGGCGACCCAAAAGAAAGCGCUUUCCAAGGCCGAAGACAAUGCGGCCGUGGAGCGCACCGAGCGAGAGAAACAAGAGGCGCAGGUGGCGGAGGUGCGGCAAGAGCUCAAUGCUCUUGUGAAAAAAACAUGAGAGUUUAGAGCUUGACUCGAAGACUCGAGAGUCCGUGCUUGCCUCGGCACUUGAAAGCGCCAAAUCUGCCAAGGCCGAAGCCCAAAAAGCCCUCCAAGAAAUUGAGGCGAUGAAAAGGAUUGCCGCGGGUAAGGCAUUCUUUAGGCAAAGCAAGCACGUGAAAGUAAAUUACCUGUUACUUACCCAAAUCCAGAGCUCUCCAGGAGCAUUCGCAAAUCUGCCCCCGCAGUGUAUCCGAUGCCGCCGCAUUAUACCGGGCCGAGGAAGGGAGCUCGACGGAGAAGGUGUUCUGGUCCCAGUAUGCUGAGGCCGGACACCCGGUGCCCCUGAGCGACCAGCUGAAGCAGCUAGUCGAGCUUCAUAAGGCAGCCGAACAGGCCAUGAAGGGCCUGAUAGGCCGGCUGUGGCCUGGGGAGGCCAUGCCUGGGAGCUACUUUGGGCUGGUGCGGCGGCUGGUGGACGCCUGUCCCCGGCUGGAAGUCAUCAAUCGCUCAGUAUGCAUCGAAGGUGCCCGUAGGGCUUUUGCCCGUGCUAAAGUGCACUGGGGCAAACUGGAUGCUGAGAAGCUGGUGACAGAAGGGCCACCGGAUGGGAAGGAGCAUCGCAGGCCCGAGAUGUAUUAUGAGGGUGUCCUGAAGGGUGCCCGUCUUGUGGCGAAUUAAUGUACCAGGGAUGUAAUUUUUGAGCAAACUCGCUCGUGUUUAUCCUGUGCGCUGAGAACUUGUUCAUAUGCGCUAAGCAAUGCUUUUUGAAUUUAAAAUAUUACCUUCUGUGCGGCCGUUUAUUAAAUCUGAGAGAUGCAAGUCGUCGGCUUCUACCCCCAUGCCACGAGUCCUGGGGUGUUCGGGAUAAACCUGAGCACUCUUGUUCCCAUUCUUGGGUCCUUCGAGGGAGGCGCUCAGCACAACGAACAAGGCAAUCGGACUUAUAAUGCUUUAUCACUCUCACUUAGCCAUAGAAUUCUAUAAUUUUAAAUUUCGACGAAGCCCCUAGUAUUCGGAAGACCGAGUUCGGGGCGCUAUCCACGCCUAGGCCGGACAAAGCCAGCUCCUCGCUCUAAGCGGCAUGAGUCUUUAGGGACUCGAAAAACCUCUCGAAUAGCGACCGGUCUCUCGCCCUAUCAUGACGGUCAGUUUUAGCUUUCUCUAUUGAGGUGUUAACCCAACUCAACUGGGGCACAAUCGCAGUAGUUCUCCUAGCGCUACCUUAGCCGACAUAGCGGAAUGUAAGCUACCAAAACAUGGGAGCCGGGCAAACCCAACUAUUGACCCAAGACAUGAUUCAGAACUGAUGCAUAUAAUGCUAUAAGUUCGGGGUGCCGCAUUCAUGAGAGUGUUCGGUCUUCUCACACCGUAUUCUGGGGUACUUAAGCCCCUGGUGUAUUGGCUGUACCAAAGUGUACGGUUGCAUGAUGUCAUAACUGAACAUAUUUACAUAAAAAAUUAAUGCAAUAAUAGACAAGAGCUAUGUAUUGUUUAUUAAAGGGCUGCUAUGAGAGCAGAAGGAUGAAAAUAGUGCGAUAGGCAAGAGAUGGGAUUAUUUGACAUGUCCCCCUCUAGGGGCAAGCUGCGAGACUUUAAGUAAGACAGGUAUUUAGCUCGUUAUAGAGACCACCUGGACAUUCGACGUGGCUUGUUGUCUCCCUGGCUGUUGCAUCGUGUGUUCAGCGAUUGUACUGCCGAACAGGCCUUCCGAAUAGUGGAGUCCUGAAAGUAUAUAUAAAAAAAGAAAUGGCAAAAUCGGGAGCCCCUAGUGCGGUUGAGCCGCAUUCUGGACGUGCCGUAAUUGUGCCAAUUCCCUUAUGCCCAUGGUAUUUCCAAAGCGUAAUUAUGUACGUGUGGUACUGGUAUCGCAAUCUCGCGAGGGCUGGGGUUGGGGCCGCACUGCUAUGCUUGCUCGGAACGUGCCAGACGGUCUUGUUGUAGGUUACUUCGUGCGCACUUGAUGUUGUCCGGACGUCUAACAGCCGGACUGGAGAAUUGCCUUGAGAGGCCACUUUGUAUUUCCGCCGCCAGGGCCGCCGUGUGCUCCUCUGUUCAGAGAGAGCGUUUGGUGUUUCCAUUGACCGUAAUGACUCCUUGAGGGCCUGGCAUCUUGAGCUUGAGGUAUGCGUAGUGCGGCACCGCAUUGAACUUUGCAAAUGCGGUUCGCCCGAGCAGGGCGUGAUAGCCACUGCGGAACGGGACUAUGUCGAAGAUUAACUACUCGCUUCAGAAAUUAUCCGGGGAUCUGAAGACCACUUCAAGUGUAACUGAGCCCGUACAGCUGGCUUCUACACCUGGUAUGAUGCCUUUAAAGGUCGUCUUUGCGUGCUUAAUCCUUGAGGGAUCUAUGCCCAUUUUUUGCACUGUAUCCUGGUAAAGCAGGUUCAGGCUGCUGCCGCCGUCCAUGAGGACUCUAGUGAGGUGAAAUCCGUCAAUGAUUGGGUCUAGAACCAAUGCGGCAAAUCCGCCAUGACGGAUGCUAGUGGGGUGGUCCCUACGAUCAAAAGUGAUCGGGCAGGAAGACCAUGGGUUGAACUUUGGGGCGACUGGCUCCAACGCAUAUACGUCCCUGAGUGCACGCUUCCGCUCACUUUUGGGGAUGUGGGUUGCGUAUAUCAUGUUUACCGUCCGCACUUAUGGGGGAAAACCCUUUUGUCCUCCGUUGUUCGAUGACCGGGGCUCCUCCUCCUCAUCGCUAUGCAGCCCCUUGUCUCUGUUUUUGGCACUUAACUUGCCUGCCUGUUUGAACACCCAACAACCCUUGUUGGUGUGAUUAGCUGGUUGUUCGGGGGUCCUGUGUAUCUGGCACGAGCGAUCGAGUAUCCGGUCUAAACUCGACGGGCCCAGAGUAGUUCUUUUGAACGGCUUUUUCGCUGGCCGGGUUUAGAGCCUCUGAAUCCGGCAUUAACUGUCUUAUCCUCGGUAUUGUCGCCGUUAAUGCGGCGCUUGUGCUUGUUGCGACGCGACCUGCCGUUGUUGUCCUUGGUAUCUGAAUUACCAGGGCUCUUGGUCAUAUUAUUGCUACGAGCUAGCCAGCUGUCUUCUCCCGCGCAAAAGCGGGUCAUGAGUGUCGUGAGGGCUGCCAUGGAUUCGGCUUUUCAUGUCCAAGGUGCCGGGCAAGCCAUCGUUACGGAUGUUAUGUUUGAAGGCUGCAAGGGCCUCUGCGUCCGGACAGUCGACUAUUUGAUUUUUCUUGGUUAGGAACCGUGUCCAGAAUUGUCUGGCCGAUUCCUCUGGCUGCUGAAUUAUGUGGCUUAGGUCAUCGGCGUCUAGUGGUUGAACAUAAGUUCCCUGGAAGUUGUCAAGGAAUGCAGAUUCCAGGUCCUCCCAGCAACCAAUUGACUCUGCUGGCAAGCUGUUAAGCCAAUGCCGAGCUGGUCCUUUAAGCUUGAGCGAUCCACAUCGCAGGAUCUGUUGUACCAUCGUAUGAUUCGAUGUUUACAGGUUUAAACCCUUUGGGGAUUUGAUGAUCCAUUACUUCGUCUGUGAAGCAUAGUGGGUGUGCGGCGCCUCUGUACUGGGCUAUAUUGCGACGUAGCUCAUACGAGCUUUGCCUGCCGUGUUCGGCCUGGCCGUAUUUGCCAUAUCCGGCGUGACAGUUAUCGUCACGUGUCGUGGGGCGCCCACGCGAUCCGUAGAUCGAUCUUGUUUGCCGGGCCUUGUCUUCUAUUAUGUCUCACAGGUCUGACGCGUUUCCCCGUGCCUUGGUAUUUUUUGAGCGGCGCCGGGGUGCGGCUUGAAUGGAUGGCCGAGAGGCCUCUCUGUCACGACCACGAGGUGGUCGAUCGGCUGCAUCAUACGCUGGUGAUGUAGGUUUAGUUGCUUCCUCCUCUAGUUGUUGUAGCAGCCUGUGCUUUGGGUAGCUGUUGGAGGGGCGUUCGAGUUUGUACUCUUCGGACGCCAGGACUUCAGUCCAUCUGUCGGCUAGAAAAUCUUGGUCAGCUCUAAGUUGCUGCUGUUUUUUCUUGAGGCUGCUUGCCUUGGCCAUAAGCCUGCGUUUGAAACGCUCUUGUUCGACGGGAUCCUCAGGCACGACAAAUUCGUCGUCGUCGAGGCUUGCCUCGUCUUCAGAGGGAGGCAUAUAAUUUCCGUCCUCGACCUCUCUGUCUGCCGCUCUCUCAUGAGGGCUGGCUUCUCCAUCCUCCUGCGUUGAAUCCUGCUGGAGGGGGUUGUCUUUGGCACUGUCCAGGGUGUUAUUGUCUCCGGUGCCGGACUCGCCAUUUUUGCUUUGGCGGGAUUUAGAGCGGUGCCGCUGACGCCGGCGCUUAGGCUGUUUCUUGGAGGGGUCAUCCUCAUUGUUCCAUCGCCAUUCCCUUCCUUUGGGGUGUCCACCAUGUAUAUGUCAUAUGACGAGGUGGCUUUCCAGUGCCCUAUAGGCGCUGGUUCUUGGUCGUCUGCUUCAUCGGCGUCCAUACUGUCGAUGUCUUCGGAGUCGAAGUCGAGCAUGUCGGUUAAAUCAUCGACAGUGGCUACGAAGUGGGUGGUGGGUGGGUUUCGAAUUUCUUCGUCGUCCGCAUACCAACCUUGCUGACCAUAGUCCGGCCAGGGCUCUCCUGAUAAAGAGAGAGACUUUAGUGAAUUCAGUAUGUCGCCAAAGGGAGAGUGCUGAAAGAUAUCCGCGGCGGUGAACUCCAUGAUCGGAGCCCAACUGGGUUCAAUCGGAAGGGGUGCGGAAGAUUCGGAGUCCGGAAAGGAGUCCGACACCUUGGAGUCACGAGCUUCACGAAGGACAAGGCAGGUAUUCGGCUCGACCGUCAUAGAGAUUGCAGCCCCCGAGGCGGUGUCCAACCAUCCAUCCCCGAUUGGCGCAGUCGGCUCCAAGCUAAGGGUCGGAGCGGACACCUGAGCGGCCUUCUGGGCACUGUCCGGCGGUAGAGCUAUAUCAUGCCCAUCGUGAUAGUGCGGCAUGCUCGGCUGUGGCUCGAAUCCGUCGAAGAUCAAGUCUCCGCGGAUGUCAGCCGUGUAGUUCAAACUUCCAAAUCUGACCUGAUGGCCAGGGGCGUAGCUUUCGAUCUGCUCCAGAUGGCCAAGCGAAUUGGCCCGCAGUGCAAAGCCGCCGAAUACGAAGAUAUGUCCAGGGAGAAAGGUCUCACCCUAGACCGCAUCGUUGUUGAUGAUCGUAGAAGCCAUCGGGCCUAAAGGUGUCGACACAGAGGAACUCUCAAUGAAAGCACCAAUGUCGGUUUCAAAACUGGUGGAUCUCGGGUAGGGGGUCCCGAAUAGUGCGUCUAGGCGGAUGGUAACAGGGGACAAGGGACACGAUGUUUUUACCCAGGUUCGGGCCCUCUCGAUGGAGGUAAAACCCUACUCCUGCUUGAUUAAUAUUAAUGAUAUGGGUAGUACAAGAGUUGAUCUACCACGAGAUCAGAGAGGCUAAACCCUAGAAGCUAGCCUAUGGUAUGAUUGUUGUUCGUCCUACCGACUAAACCUCUCCGGUUUAUAUAGACACCGAAGAGGGCUAGGGUUACACAGAGUCGGUUACAAUGGCAGGAGAUCUACAUAUCGUAUUGCCAACCUUGCCUUCCACACCAAGGAAAGUCCUAUCCGGACACGGGACGAAGUCUUCAAUCUUGUAUCUUCAUAGUCCUGGAGUUCGGCCAAAGGUCAUAGUCCGUCCAUCCGGACACCCCCUAAUCCGGGACUCCCUCAGUCAUGAUAAUACACCCCAUGAUAUGUCAUUGUUAUUAUUUUUAGCAAACCUGCACUGAUAUUUGCUUAGCUAGUUAACAUCACAGUCUCCUUUAUUGGAGCCCUGGAGUAGUCUAUGCACAUUGUACACCUGCACAAUUUGCCAACAAUAUGAGCCUCCAAAUUGCAUUCCUUGUUCUCAGGGCACGUAAGGAUUCAGUGGCAAUCUUCCUGACAACCACCAAACUUCUUUAGGUAUUUAAACGUACACCUUUGGUUUGUAUCCGCAUGUGCAAAAUAUUACCAACAAGAAGAAAUCCAAAUCAUGAAAAGAACAGUUUUGUUGAUUGGGUUGAUGCAACACACUUGGUGGAACCGAUUAAACGUACUUGAUGCUAGCACGAGAAAGGCGAGUGUCAGGAGUAGCGCCAAAGCUGCAAUCUUCAUCCUAACUUGUAUGUGGCGUUGGUAGGAAAGUGACUGCUUGUGAGCCUUGAGGAAGAGAAAAUGAUAUGGCAACCAUUUUGAUAGUAGGUUUUAUAUUAAUGCUCAUUAUUGUAAUACAAAAAUAGCAUUAAAAGAAAGAUUGGAUAAGGUAUGUCGUAUUAAAAGCAAUUAACUGGACUUCAGGAUAAGAUAUGUACAGACGCUUUGUAGCAGAGCAAGGAAGCGAAAUUAAGAGAUUGCACAUUUGAGCGGACGUUUUCACAUGAAAAAGAUAGACAAAAGAAAAACAUCUAUCUAUACAAUUACUAAGCUCCCUUGAAAUAAGGUCUCCUAGUGAAUCCAGGGUGUGAAAAGUGCAUGGGCCAUGGGUGAGAGUGGGUGAGGCGUGUUGGUGGGCAGCUUGGUCCUUUGCGUGUCCAGUUUUCUUGUGUACAUGCGCAGUUCGCUUGCUGGUCCCUUGCAUGUUGGUUCAUCUAGCAAAGAAAGAAAAAAGCCGUUACCACACCUAGCUAAUAAAAGAAUCUCAAUGAGCAAAACUUAUUAAACAAAGAAAAUGUUAGGAAUAAAUUAGGAUGUGUCUAUUAAUAUUAAUAACUAAAAUAUAUUAAUUAACGAAUCAUCAUUCUUGUGACCAAUCCAAAGUAGUGAUGUCCCUUUUUCUUUUAACAUUUAUAACUGCCAUCUUUUGGAGGCAGAUUCUCCCGAUGUAUAGAUACCUUUUCUAUCAAUGGAAUUAGAGAGGGUAGCUCUCUCUCUCUCCCUCCCCUCACUAUCUUACUUGCAUUUUUCAGAUAUAUGUUCUUUUACUUUUAUUCAAAUUUACCUCCAUGGUCAAACUUCCUGAAAGGUCACCCAUCCUCACACUACUCCAGCCCAAGCACGCUUAACUUCAGAGUUCAAUCCAACCCCAGCACCAGCUCACAUCACAGGCACUUGUUGAUAUAUCUAGCAUAUCAGUCGUAUUAAACCUUGUUGAUGUUUAGGACUUUGUUCAUGUUCAUGAGUGUGAGGAAAUUUUGAAAAUUUAUUUCAAACUUCCGCUCAUAUUACGUAUCAUAUUUUGAAAAAAUAAUUCCCGAAAAAAAUUCAAAACUAAUAUUUUUCUCUGUUACUAGUGGCGCACCUAGCAAACGGUGCACCACUAGUAAGUUUGAAAUUUUUUGAAUUUAUUUGCCUCUAGAUCUUGAAAGCCCUGUAACUUUUUUCGGUUAGGUUUUUGAGGAUUUUGAAAAAAAUUAACGGGGUUCCCCCCAUUAAGAACGGAUGUAUUUUUAACGGGGUUCCCCCCGUUAAGAUCGGAUUGGUAAUAUAUUCAAAAAGGAAGAUGGUAUUUUUAACGCCUCAUAUAUAUAUCACUUAAUAACACCAUGUACAAAACUCAAGGUGUAACGUUGAAUUAUGUUCUAUAAAGAUUUAUUGUGAAUAGUCAUGUUAAUACACCCCACGAUAUGGCAUUGUUAUUAUUUUUAGCAAACCUGCAUUGAUAUUUGCUUAGCUAGUUAACAUCACAGUUACUUUUAUUGGAGCCUUGGAGUAGUCUAUGCACAUUGUACACCUGCACAAUUUGCCAACAAUAUGAGUCUCCAAAUUGCAUUCCUUGUUCUCAGGGCACGUAAGGAUUCAGUGGCAAUCUUCCUGACAACCACCAAACUUCUUCAUGUAUUUAAACGUACACCUUCAGUUUGUAUUCACAUCUGCAAAAUAUUACCAACAAGAAGAAAUCCAAAUCAUGAAAAUAACAGUUUUGUUGAUUGGGUUGAUGCAACACUCUUGGAGGAACCGAUUAAACGUACUUGAUGCUAGCACGAGAAAGGUGAGUGUCAGGAGUAGCGUCAAAGCUGCAAUCUUCAUCCAAACUUGUAUGUGGCGUUGGUAGGAAAGUGACUGCUUGUGAGCCUUGAGGAUGAGAAAAUGAUAUGGCAUCCAUUUUUUAGUAGGUUUGAUAUUAAUGCUCAUUAUUGUAAUACAAAAAUAGCAUGAAAAUAAAGAUUGGAUAAGUUAUGUCGUAUUAAAAGCAAUUAAGUGGACUUCAGGAUAAGAUAUGUACAGACGCUUUGUAGCAGAGCAAGGAAACGAAAUUAAGAGAUUGCACAUUUGAGCAGAAAUUUUCACAUGAAAAAGAUAGAUAAAAGAAAAACUUCUAUCUAUAUAGUUACUAAGCUCCCUUGAAAUAAGGUCUGCUAGUGAAUCUAGGGUGUGAAAAGUGCAUGGGCCCUGGGUGACAGUGGGUGAGGCGUGUUGGUGGGAAGCUCGGUCCCUUGCGUGUCCAGUUUUCUUGUGUACAUGCGAAGUUCGCUUGCUGGUCCCUUGCAUGUUGGUUCUUCUAGCAAAGAAAGAAAAAGGCCGUUACCACACCCAGCCAAUAAAAGAAUCUCAAUGAGCAAAACUGAUUGAACAAAGAAAAUGUUAGGAACAAAUUAGGAUGUGUCAAUUAUAUUAAGAACUAAAAUGUAUUAAUUAACGAAUCAUCAUUCUUGUGACCAAUCCAAAUUAGUGAUGCCCCUUUUCUUUUAACAUUUGUAACUGCCAUCUCUUGGAGGCUACUUCUCCCUAUGUAUAGAUACCUUUUCUAUCAAUGGAAUUAGAGAGGGUAGCUCUCUCUCUCCCUCCCCUUGCUAUUUUACUUGCGUUUUUCAGAUAUAUGUUGUUUUACUUUUAUUCAAAUUUACCUCCGUGGUCAAACUUCCCGAAAGGUCACCCAUCCUCACACUACUCCAGCCCAAGCACGCUUAACUUCAGAGUUCUAUCCAACCCCAGCACCAGCUCACUUCACAGGCACUUGUUGAUAUAUCUAGCAUAUCAAUCCUAUUAAACCUUGUUGAUGUUUAGGACUUUGUUCAUGUUCAUGAGUGUGAGGAAAUUUUGAAAAUUUAUUUCAAACUUCCGCUCAUAUUACGUAUCAUAUUCUGAAAAAAUAAUUCCCGAAAAAAUUCAAAACUAAUAUUUUUCUCUGUUACUAGUGGCGCACCUAGCAAACGGUGCACCACUAGUAAGUUUGAAAUUUUUUGAAUUUAUUUGCCUCUAGAUCUUGAAAGCCCUGUAACUUUUUUUCGGUUAGGUUUUUGAGGAUUUUGAAAAAAAUUAACGGGGUUCCCCCCAUUAAGAUCGGAUGUAUUUUUAACGGGGUUCCCCCCGUUAAGAUCGGAUUGGUAAUAUAUUCAAAAAGGAAGAUGGUAUUUUUAACGCCUCAUAUAUAUAUCACUUAAUAACACCAUGUACAAAACUCAAGGUGUAACGUUGAAUUAUGUUCUAUAAAGAUUUAUUGUGAAUAGUCAUGUUAAUACACCCCACGAUAUGGCAUUGUUAUUAUUUUUAGCAAACCUGCACUGGUAUUUGCUUAGCUAGUUAACAUCACAGUUCCUUUUAUUGGAGCCUUGGAGUAGUCUAUGCACAUUGUACACCUGCACAAUUUGCCAACAAUAUGAGUCUCCAAAUUGCAUUCCUUGUUCUCAGGGCACGUAAGGAUUCAGUGGCAAUCUUCCUGACAACCACCAAACUUCUUCAUGUAUUUAAACGUACACCUUCAGUUUGUAUUCGCAUCUGCAAAAUAUUACCAACAAGAAGAAAUCCAAAUCAUGAAAAUAACAGUUUUGUUGAUUGGGCUGAUGCAACACUCUUGGAGGAACCGAUUAAACGUACUUGAUGCUAGCACGAGAAAGGUGAGUGUCAGGAGUAGCGUCAAAGCUGCAAUCUUCAUCCAAACUUGUAUGUGGCGUUGGUAGGAAAGUGACUGCUUGUGAGCCUUGAGGAAGAGAAAAUGAUAUGGCAUCCAUUUUUAUAGUAGGUUUGAUAUUAAUGCUCCUUAUUGUAAUACAAAAAUAGCAUGAAAAUAAAGAUUGGAUAAGUUAUGUCGUAUUAAAAGCAAUUAAGUGGACUUCAGGAUAAGAUAUGUACAGACGCUUUGUAGCAGAGCAAGGAAACGAAAUUAAGAGAUUGCACAUUUGAGCAGAAAUUUUCACAUGAAAAAGAUAGAUAAAAGAAAAACUUCUAUCUAUAUAGUUACUAAGCUCCCUUGAAAUAAGGUCUGCUAGUGAAUCUAGGGUGUGAAAAGUGCAUGGGCCCUGGGUGACAGUGGGUGAGGCGUGUUGGUGGGAAGCUCGGUCCCUUGCGUGUCCAGUUUUCUUGUGUACAUGCGAAGUUCGCUUGCUGGUCCCUUGCAUGUUGGUUCUUCUAGCAAAGAAAGAAAAAGGCCGUUACCACACCCAGCCAAUAAAAGAAUCUCAAUGAGCAAAACUGAUUGAACAAAGAAAAUGUUAGGAACAAAUUAGGAUGUGUCAAUUAUAUUAAGAACUAAAAUGUAUUAAUUAACGAAUCAUCAUUCUUGUGACCAAUCCAAAUUAGUGAUGCCCCUUUUCUUUUAACAUUUGUAACUGCCAUCUCUUGGAGGCUACUUCUCCCUAUGUAUAGAUACCUUUUCUAUCAAUGGAAUUAGAGAGGGUAGCUCUCUCUCUCCCUCCCCUCACUAUUUUACUUGCGUUUUUCAGAUAUAUGUUGUUUUACUUUUAUUCAAAUUUACCUCCGUGUCAAUUAUAUUAAGAACUAAAAUGUAUUAAUUACGAAUCAUCAUUCUUGUGACCAAUCCAAAUUAGUGAUGCCCCUUUUCUUUUAACAUUUGUAACUGCCAUCUCUUGGAGGCUACUUCUCCCUAUGUAUAGAUACCUUUUCUAUCAAUGGAAUUAGAGAUGGUAGCUCUCUCUCUCCCUCCCCUCACUAUUUUACUUGCGUUUUUCAGAUAUAUGUUGUUUUACUUUUAUUCAAAUUUACCUCCGUGGUCAAACUUCCCAAAAGGUCACCCAUCCUCACACUACUCCAGCCCAAGCACGCUUAACUUCAGAGUUCUAUCCAACCCCAGCACCAGCUCACUUCACAGGCACUUGUUGAUAUAUCUAGCAUAUCAAUCCUAUUAAACCUUGUUGAUGUUUAGGACUUUGUUCAUGUUCAUGAGUGUGAGGAAAUUUUGAAAAUUUAUUUCAAACUUCCGCUCAUAUUACGUAUCAUAUUUUGAAAAAAUAAUUCCCGAAAAAAAUUCAAAACUAAUAUUUUUCUCUGUUACUAGUGGCGCACCUAGCAAACGGUGCACCACUAGUAAGUUUGAAUUUUUUUGAAUUUAUUUUCCUCUAGAUCUUGAAAGCCCUGUAACUUUUUUUCGGUUAGGUUUUUGAGGAUUUUGAAAAAAAUUAACGGGGUUCCCCCCAUUAAGAUCGGAUGUAUUUUUAACGGGGUUCCCCCCGUUAAGAUCGGAUUGGUAAUAUAUUCAAAAAGGAAGAUGGUAUUUUUAACGCCUCAUAUAUAUAUCACUUAAUAACACCAUGUACAAAACUCAAGGUGUAACGUUGAAUUAUGUUCUAUAAAGAUUUAUUGUGAAUAGUCAUGUUAAUACACCCCACGAUAUGGCAUUGUUAUUAUUUUUAGCAAACCUGCACUGAUAUUUUCUUAGCUAGUUAACAUCACAGUUCCUUUUAUUGGAGCCUUGGAGUAGUCUAUGCACAUUGUACACCUGCACAAUUUGCCAACAAUAUGAGUCUCCAAAUUGCAUUCCUUGUUCUCAGGGCACGUAAGGAUUCAGUGGCAAUCUUCCUGACAACCACCAAACUUCUUCAUGUAUUUAAACGUACACCUUCAGUUUGUAUUCGCAUAUGCAAAAUAUUACCAACAAGAACAAAUCCAAAUCAUGAAAAUAACAGUUUUGUUGAUUGGGUUGAUGCAACACUCUUGGAGGAACCGAUUAAACGUACUUGAUGCUAGCACGAGAAAGGUGAGUGUCAGGAGUAGCGUCAAAGCUGCAAUCUUCAUCCAAACUUGUAUGUGGCGUUGGUUGGAAAGUGACUGCUUGUGAGCCUUGAGGAAGAGAAAAUGAUAUGGCAUCCAUUUUUAUAGUAGGUUUGAUAUUAAUGCUCAUUAUUGUAAUACAAAAAUAGCAUGAAAAUAAAGAUUCGAUAAGUUAUGUCGUAUUAAAAGCAAUUAAGUGGACUUCAGGAUAAGAUAUGUACAGACGCUUUGUAGCAGAGCAAGGAAACGAAAUUAAGAGAUUGCACAUUUGAGCAGAAAUUUUCACAUGAAAAAGAUAGAUAAAAGAAAAACUUCUAUCUAUAUAGUUACUAAGCUCCCUUGAAAUAAGGUCUGCUAGUGAAUCUAGGGUGUGAAAAGUGCAUGGGCCCUGGGUGACAGUGGGUGAGGCGUGUUGGUGGGAAGCUCAGUCCCUUGCGUGUCCAGUUUUCUUGUGUACAUACGAAGUUCGCUUGCUGGUCCCUUGCAUGUUGGUUCUUCUAGCAAAGAAAGAAAAAGGCCGUUACCACACCCAGCUAAUAAAAGAAUCUCAAUGAGCAAAACUGAUUGAACAAAGAAAAUGUUAGGAACAAAUUAGGAUGUGUCAAUUAUAUUAAGAACUAAAAUGUAUUAAUUAACGAAUCAUCAUUCUUGUGACCAAUCCAAAUUAGUGAUGCCCCUUUUCCUUUAACAUUUGUAACUGCCAUCUCUUGGAGGCUACUUCUCCCUAUGUAUAGAUACCUUUUCUAUCAAUGGAAUUAGAGAGGGUAGCUCUCUCUCUCCCUCCCCUCACUAUUUUACUUGCGUUUUUCAGAUAUAUGUUGUUUUACUUUUAUUCAAAUUUACCUCCGUGGUCAAACUUCCUGAAAGGUCACCCAUCCUCACACUACUCCAGCCCAAGCACGCUUAACUUCAGAGUUCUAUCCAACCCCAGCACCAGCUCACUUCACAGGCACUUGUUAAUAUAUCUAGCAUAUCAAUCCUAUUAAACCUUGUUGAUGUUUAGGACUUUGUUCAUGUUCAUGAGUGUGACGAAAUUUUGAACAAUUAUUUCAAACUUCCGUUCAUAUUACGUAUCAUAUUUAAAAAAAAUCCCGAAAAAAAUUCGAAACAAUUUUUUUUCUGUUACUAGUGGCGCACCUAGCAAACGGUGCGCCACUAGUAAGUUUGAAUUUUUUUGAAUUUUUUUGCCUCUAGAUCUUGAAAGCCCGGUAACAUUUUUUUGUCACGACCAGUUUUCCGGGUAUUAAUUUCCCAGAAAAUGGCCUUUGUGCUCACUAGCCCCAGGAUUACUGUUAGCUGAUGAGGCACCAACUUGUUACAGAAACUCCAAGCAAAAAUACAUAAUAUGUAGUACAAGACCAUUCUGGCCUAUGAGUACAACAUAAGGUUGCUAGUGGUUGAUGGCGGAAGCGGUUUGUGGAUCAUCAGCGUUAUGGGACUCCAUUUCACACAGGAACAGCUGACCAGGUUAACUCCUAUCUUCGCGAGGCUGCUAUCAUCGUUGCUUAGGUUCCGGGGCUGUCAUCGCAAAGCUCCUCUCUAUGCAAGAAAUCUGGCCAAGACAAUAGCCAGGGCCAAGCUAGUGAGUACUUCGAAUGUACUCGCAAACAUUAUGAACACUGGUAUAAUAUAACAAAUCAUGCUCUAAAAUAUCCUAUGAUCACAACAUCAGUCAUAAAAUGGAAUCCCCGAUGCAUGCAAGCAGGUUAUUUAUAUGAAACAUUAAUAUGUAAUAGCAAAGUAGUAAUAAAAUGCACCGGUCGGGUGUCUGAAGCGACGCCUCGAAAGGAUAGUAAAUAACGAGCGUGCCUCAGUCGGGCGUCUGAGCGACACCACAUAAAGGGCUUAUAAAGUAAAUAAAUAACAUCAUGCCACAGUCGGGCGUCUGAGCGACACCACAUAAAGGGCUUAUAAAGUAAAUAAAUAACAGCAUGCCACAGUCGUGCGUCUGAGUGACACCACAUAAAGGGCUUAUAAAGUAAAUAAAUAACAGCAUGCCACAGUCGGGCGUCUGAGCGACACCACAUAAAGGGCUUAUAAGAAAACAAUCAUAGUGAAUAUCCAGGAGGUAAAACCGUCCCAGGGAUACUCAAUACUGCAAAUAAUAUAAAGGGGUUAGUCCAUAAUAAUAAUAAUCAUAAUCAUCAUAAGUCACAAGUCACGAUCCAUGUUCUGGUUUAGCAGUUUUCUCCUCCGAAGCCCGACACUAUGCCCGACACUUGACCCAACCCAGACUGUAGUUCUUAACCAUGGACACGGCUAUUCGAAUAGAUGUUAAAUCUCUGCAGAGGGUUUACUCUUUACCCACGAGUAACGGAUUCCUUUAGUCCAUCGGGACUAAUUCCAUCUACGGUCUUUUAAUUGAAAACACACCUGACUUGCACACACCAGCUUAACUUACAGGUGUCUGGAAUCACCCACGACACCUGUCAAGAAAAACUCUAAGUGGGGAGGCUACAACCUCGCGUAGCAUGGGAUCAAAUUUAUAUAGCGCGCUCUAAGUGGUGGCCUCCCCUCUCGGUCCCAACCGGAAACACCCAUGCCCCCUGACCGGAUGACUGGCUUUAAUCCAUGGCCAUGGUACCUUCAUCCCGGCCCCUCUGUACGGUGUGUGCUAGAAAGGGGUUGACAACUUACUGAACCGUACCCUGCCUGUGGCAGGGAAAAGUGGUAGUACGAAACAAGUGUGGGGGUUACCGGAACAAGACUUGAUCUAUGGUCGACUCAGGAGGUUUAAGUAUUCCCUGCAUGAUUAGCAUAACGAAUAUAUUUCACCCAACAGACAGAAUCACCACUCAUUAUACCCCAUCAUGCCAUACCGAACACACUCGUCUCAACGAGGAACUAGGGACAAGCUCAGGUCUACCCAAGAUAGAGACUUUCCCGGCUUCCUUCCGGCAGGCACGAAAAGCAUACGAGGAUGAUUACUGUCACAAGCAUGACCAUUUCCAACAGCAAGGAAAUCUCCAAUAUGCAUGAGAUCAUUAAUAUGCACUCAUGAGUUUGAACAUAUCAUCACAUAAAAUAACGGACACUCCGUGUCGAGGUGGUAUUGUAACCGCGUCAGACAACACACACAAAAAUAUGCCCGAGUUCAGAAUGUCUGCCUUCAAGGGUAUGCAAGAGGGGUGCAUAUAUGAAAAUUGCCUUCUUCUUAAAAGACCUUAUUUUGAAAUUAUUCAAAUUAACACAUCGAUUCAAAACAGUGCAAAAAAGUUGUCUGAAUUUUUUUCAAAUAAAUCUUAAAAUAAACUAGAUUAAAUUUGAGAGAGGUUAGAAAAAGAAUCAACUCAUUUGGAGUUUUAUUUAAAAAGAUAUAGUCAGACAAAGUUUAGUCAAAUUUGUGUUUUUUUAAAUAAAACAGAAAAAAAAAGAAAACGUUUCGAGCGUGUACACGUCAAACAUGUACUCUGUAAAUACGCUUCCACUUACGCCUGCGUGGACCGGCACUGGGUCACUGACAGUGGGCCCUCCUGGCCCACUGGUCAGGUUUGACCAGUCCACGCGCGCGGAGCUCCGGCGAGGCUCGCAGGCGAACGAAGGCCUCCCUCGGGGAUCUGAGGAUAUGGGUGUGCUCAGGAGGUCGAGGCGAACCCGUGGGUACCCGCCAUGGUCGCCGACAUGGACGGAGUCGCAGGCGACGAGCUCCGCGGCGGAGAAGGCUUCGGGUGGAAUUGGGGUUCCGCGCUACGGUGGCUCUCCGUCGAGGCUGAAGGUCUGGGCGGCUCCGCAAGAUCAUGUUGAGUCUGGUGGUGGCGUUGGACGGACGGGAGGGGCUCUGGUCGCGGUGAACGGGGCUGGGACGUGGCGGCUCCCCCCCGAUGAUUGCUGAUUGUGGGGGUGCCAUGGGGGUGGCCUGAGGUCGUCUGAGUGCUCGGAUGAGCUCGGGGGCCUCCUUUUAUAGCGCGAGGAGGUCGGUUCUGCGGCGGUGGAUAAGGAUGCCGGCGACCGCUGUUGUGUAGCUUGCAGGGCACCGUGUCAGGGCUGGGGAUGGCGGUGGGAGCUAGCGGAUGAGCGGGGACUGCUUCAGGGGCGAGCUGGCGCACGGGAGUGGCUCGGGCGGCGCCGACCAGUGCAGAGGCUGUCGAGAGGUAGUGGCGGCUAGCUUCUGGCUUGCCGGAGACGUGGCGAGGGGCUGUGGUGCUCGUGAGGGGGUACGGGUUGAGGCUUGGCCCUACGCUGCGAGCGGCAGAGGGUUUGGAUAAGCUCGGGGAACAUGCCAGGGGCGCGGUGGCUCGGGCGCGGCACGUGCAAAACGCACGCUCUGGGCGCGCCCAGAGCACGCUCACCAGGUGCUCGGCGAAAUGCCAGUGCAUGCCACAGAGCUUGGGUGAGGCUGGAAAAUAGCAGACCUAGGUUAGGAGUAGCUAGGAGCUUAGUGGACAAGGUUGCUGGGUCAGUGGAUCAAGUUCAUAUUGCAAACUAAACUUCAUGUCAAAACUGAUCAUGCCCAUAAGGUGUUUGACAAAAUGCCAAGGGCACUAAGGCAUUUCUUGGGGUGGCCAGAAUCUCCAGGUUGGGGUCUCUUUAGAUGCAAAAGAGAGUGGUAAGGUCAUUUGGGCAAAAGGAGAAACUUGCUAGUGCAAGUUUUGCAAAUCUUCAGUUCUGGAAUGAAGGAAAAAGGCAUGAUUGCAUGCACUUAAAAUCCUCCCAUGGGUCUACUAUCUUGGACUAAAGGGUUUUGUAAGGUGUACUACAAGCAGGAGAAAGCUCAUGGUCACUAGAGCACAAAUGAUUAGGGAUGCAGUAGAAAACACCCAACUGGGCCAGAAUGAAAAGGAGGUUGUUUCACUCAAUUUUUACAAAGAAAAAUCAUGGGUUUUUGCAUAAAAAUGAAUUACAAGCACCUACUGACAUCUCCAAAUUUUUAAGCAAUUUUUAAAGAAAUAUUUAAAUAGGUUGUAGUGCAAAAUUGCCCACUCGACCAGAUUUUAAAACUUGAUGUAGGGCUCAAAAUAUCCAAAGAAUGAAAUAUAUUUUUGCAUAAAAGUGAUCUAAAAACAUCACAUGAUAUCUCCAAAUUUUUUUGGGAUUUUUAAAUAAAUUUAUCAAAGGGUUGUAGUGCAAAUGAGGCCGUGAAACUUAUAAAAAUCAUUUUUAAUGAAAAAAGGCUCAGGGAAAAAUAAUUAUUCAAAUAAUCCCACUGAUAAAAGAAAUGUUUUUCUUGAGAGGGCAAAUAAGUCCAACCAUGAUUGAAAAGUUUUCACUUGGGGUAAAAACUCCAUAAUAAUAAAGCAAAGAAUGGUUCUGAAAUCAAAAGGAAAUCCAGAAAAUAAAAGUUUAAGUUUCCUGGCAAAAUUUUAGUUAAUAAAACAAGAUUAAAUUUUUUGGGGUGUCACAAGACUUCCCCCCUUAAAAAAAUCUCAUCCUCGAGAUUUGUUAAGAGUUUUUUUUUUGAAAAUACCAUUCCAGUUAGAUGAAACCAAAAGGUUUAUUCAGAGCACAAACUUGCGUCGUCGAGGUUGGUCUUUGGUAGCUACGCUUGGGAUUAAAAAUGCAACUGUACACUAAUAUACUCAUGCAGGGCUACUAUUAAAAACAGGGACGCACAAUCAAAUAAUAUUUAAUAAUGGCGGUACAGGAUCACACAGUUACAAGACGAGGACAUACUAAGACUCGGUACUACUCGAGCGACUCUAGUCUACCUCGUUAAUAUCUAAUCAGGCUUGCCUCGUGGACGUCGAGGUUUCUCCAUGGUUUUCACCGUUAGGAUUAGUUGGAGGGCACUAGUAGAAAAGGGGGCAAUGGUCCAGGCCAGGUCAGCCCAUUAGUCCCGGUUCAAACAAGAACCGGGACCAAUGGGGGCAUUGGACCCGGUUCGUGAGCCCCGGGGGCCUGCCGGGCCACGUGGGCCAUUGGUCCCGGUUCGUCUGGACCUUUUGGUCCCGGUUGGUUGGAUGAACCGGGACCAACGCGCCUCGCUCCUAGCCCACCACCAUUGGUCCCGGUUGGUGGCUUGAACCGGGACCAAAGGCUGACCUUUAGUCCCGGUUCAAGCCACCAACCGGGACUAAAGGGUUGGCCCUCGUUGCGGUCAGAGUUUAGUCCCACCUCGCCAACCGAAGGGGAAUCAGACCGGUUUAUAAGCCCCUCCUUCUCUCCCUUUGUUGAGCUCAUCUCAAAAUGAAAAUAGAUGCCCUUAUACAGGAAAUUUAAUCUAAAUUCAUAUGAAUUUCUCUGAAAUUAGUAGAAAUUCAUUAUGAAUUUAGGUUGAAUUUUCUCUAUAAGCGCAUCUAUGCUCAUUUCUGAGCAGUUUUUUAUAUAGUUUUUUUUCUUUUCUGCUAUAUUUAUUUUUUUUCUUUUUAUUUCUGAGUUGUAAUAAGUCAUUAAAAAUAAGCAUCUAUGCUCAUUUUUUAGUUAAGUUAAUCACAACUAUUUUUUUCUAUUUAUUUCUGAAUUGUAAUAAGUCAUUAAAAAUAAGCAUCUAUGCUCAUUUUUUAAGUAAAGUUAAUCACAACUAUUUUUGCUUCUAUUUAUUUUUGAGUAGUUUUUUCUAUUUUCUGCUAUAUUUAUUUUUUCUUCUUAUUUCUGAGUUGUAAUAAGUCAUUAAAAAUAAGCAUCUAUGCUCAUUUUUUAGUUAAGUUAAUCACAACUAUUAAAAAUAAGUCAUUAAAAAUAAAAAAGAGGCGCAAUGCUCGUUAAUUUGCUUCAAGCCUUUCGGAAUAGUGUCAACUGCACUGCACAUAGCUCUGUGCAGUCUACCCCUAUUCCUCAAGGCUUGAAGCUAACCAACGUGCAGGUGAGCAUUGAGCCUCUUCUUCAUCGUCUCUGCACUCAGGGCUUAUAAACAGCUACGAGUGCCUCUCGCUGGGCGAGGUGGGACUAAAAAAAUAGUUGCAGAAAUAAUCCACUAAAAAACAGUUGCAGAAAAUAAAAAAUUAGACCGGUACCACUAGUACCAGUUGGUGGAGCCAACCGUACGAAUACCCCUCUUUGGUACCGGUUGGUGCCACCAACCGGUACCAAUGCCCUCCUUUUGUCCCGGUUGGUGCCACCAACCGAGAUUAAAGGUCCUCGUUUCCCGCCCUUUGCGGUGCCGAAAAGAGCCCUUUGGUCCCGGUUGGUGGCUCCAAUCGGGACAAAAGGCGUACAAUGGUACCGGUUUGCCGUACGAACCGGGAGCAAAGCCUUUGCUAUAUAAGUAGCACUGCCGCCCCGCCCCGAGUUCGAUCUCUCCCGAUGCCGCGCGCUGUCCCCUGCCGCCACCUCGCCGUCGCCGCCCCGCCCUGACACCGUCGCCGCCCCGCCCCGACGUCGUUGCCGCCCCGCCUCGCGAUGGCCCCNNNNNNNNNNNNNNNNNNNNNNNNNNNNNNNNNNNNNNNNNNNNNNNNNNNNNNNNNNNNNNNNNNNNNNNNNNNNNNNNNNNNNNNNNNNNNNNNNNNNNNNNNNNNNNNNNNNNNNNNNNNNNNNNNNNNNNNNNNNNNNNNNNNNNNNNNNNNNNNNNNNNNNNNNNNNNNNNNNNNNNNNNNNNNNNNNNNNNNNNNNNNNNNNNNNNNNNNNNNNNNNNNNNNNNNNNNNNNNNNNNNNNNNNNNNNNNNNNNNNNNNNNNNNNNNNNNNNNNNNNNNNNNNNNNNNNNNNNNNNNNNNNNNNNNNNNNNNNNNNNNNNNNNNNNNNNNNNNNNNNNNNNNNNNNNNNNNNNNNNNNNNNNNNNNNNNNNNNNNNNNNNNNNNNNNNNNNNNNNNNNNNNNNNNNNNNNNNNNNNNNNNNNNNNNNNNNNNNNNNNNNNNNNNNNNNNNNNNNNNNNNNNNNNNNNNNNNNNNNNNNNNNNNNNNNNNNNNNNNNNNNNNNNNNNNNNNNNNNNNNNNNNNNNNNNNNNNNNNNNNNNNNNNNNNNNNNNNNNNNNNNNNNNNNNNNNNNNNNNNNNNNNNNNNNNNNNNNNNNNNNNNNNNNNNNNNNNNNNNNNNNNNNNNNNNNNNNNNNNNNNNNNNNNNNNNNNNNNNNNNNNNNNNNNNNNNNNNNNNNNNNNNNNNNNNNNNNNNNNNNNNNNNNNNNNNNNNNNNNNNNNNNNNNNNNNNNNNNNNNNNNNNNNNNNNNNNNNNNNNNNNNNNNNNNNNNNNNNNNNNNNNNNNNNNNNNNNNNNNNNNNNNNNNNNNNNNNNNNNNNNNNNNNNNNNNNNNNNNNNNNNNNNNNNNNNNNNNNNNNNNNNNNNNNNNNNUGUAGUAAUUUAGAUGUGUAGUUCAUCGAUUUUUUAUCAUAUAUAUGCAAAGAUCGAAUAUGUCAAAUUUUUAUGAUUUUUUUCUGUUCAUAGAAUCUUUAUGAUUUUUUUCUGUUGUAAUUUUGUUUAUAGAAUUUUAAUGAUUUUUUUGUUCAUAGUACAUAUUUAGAAAAAUGAAAAAAUAAGAAGUGAAAGUGUUUAAUAUAAUUAGUUAGAAAAAUACUAGUUUAUUUUUAAUAAGUACUAGCUUAUUUUAUUUAUAGUAAGUGCUUCAUAUAUAGUUAAACUAGCUAGUUGAUUAUAUAAACUACUUUGUUUUACUGUAUAUAGAAGUAGUUUGUUUUUAGUAAGUACUACUUUAUUUAUUUAUAGUAAGUGUUUAGUAGUUGAACUAGCUAGUUGAUUUAAUUAAUAAAACUACUUUAUUUAACUAUAUAUAGAAGUAGUUCCCGCAUCGACGUCGGCGAUGCCUAUCCCGCAUCCUCGUCGUCGUCGACUCGGCAGUGGAGGCUUGCUAGAUCAGGGCCAUGUUCGGGACUGGGCUCCGCCGACUGGUAUUGGGAGGUGCUACCUUCCGGGGGACAUAGGUUGGUGAGGAGGCAGCCCAUUGUUGACCCGAUCCUUGUUUGGUGGCGGUCGCGUGGGCCAGUGACGGUGCCGAGGCUUCCGGACACCACGGACGAGCACGUCCAUCGCUACAUGGUUGCAUUGGAGGGAAGGUUCGACAAUACCUGGUAGGUUCUCUAGGGAUCUCACUGGAGCUAUGAUCCUGUGAUGGUUCCUUAUCUUUGGGUGUCCACCGCCCGCGUCGAUACCCGUCGGGCGCUACGGUUCUAGUUGUAUUAGUGAUGCUAUAUUAGUGAUAAUAUUCGACGAUGUACGGACACCAAGAGAUGAUGUACUUUUGCUUAUAAUUAUUGAAUGCAUGCUAAUUUGAAUACUACUUUAUUUUAUGAUUUGGUUUUGCUUAUUUUAUGAUUUGGUUUUGCUUAUUGAAUGCUCAUAUUGGAUAAGUUCUCCUUCAUUCCCGUGUGCUAGACAAUUUGAUGUAAUAAUGCACUCGGGAAUGAAAGGAGGAGCUACAUACAUCACCGAUAGUCAAUCCGUGAUUAAUAAUCUAGUUUAAUAUUUGAAUUAUGAACAUAGGCCGGAAAUGUCGUACUCGGACAACAAAAACCGCCAGGGGGAGUGCGACUGGUGCCACGACGACCGAGGUAUCUGUGACAGGUUCAUUGAGCUGGAGGAAGAUCGUUGCUUCAGCAUUAAGCUCGAGGAGACCUUCGAUGUUCAUACGGUACGCAACUGACGACAAUAGUUUUUUUUCGUAAUUACUCAUGACUUCAACUAUUUUAAUCAUGACAAUAUUUUUCAUCUUUUCCAAUUCGACUAGCUUAUCCCAUGCUUUGCAAGACGCUAUGUCUUGGAGAGGAUGGGUUUUGAAGACCAUGAAAGUUUCGAAACCAAAAAAAUUAUCCUAAGUACCCAUCAUGGUGUGGAUUUUCAAGUAAAGUUGUACAAUGCUCAGAGUGUAACCCAUUUUGGUUGCAAAAAUUGGGAAGCACUUUGCAAGAUGUAUGGUUUUGAUGAGGGUAUGCUUGUCACCAUGGAUCUUGGUGAUCCUACAAUCGAGCAAGAGAGACCUACGAUUUUCGUCCUUGUGGAUACACCUCCAAUUCUUCCCCCAUGUGAGCUUAACAUAGUUAUUAAGUAAUUUAUAUUGUUUAUUUCAAAAUAGUUGAAAACUUAUUCUCCAUUGACAUCUUAUUUUCAUUCUUCAAAGAAUGUGUGGAAGAUGGUAGACAGAACCUACUACACCGAAGGCUCCGAACUAACUUAUCAGGAGAAAAAUCAUCUGUUCGCAUUUUGUACUGAUCUUGAGAAUUACAAUGUCUACAAUCGAACUCCUCAACAUUAUGGUCAAUACGUGCCACUAGUGCACGUGUUGAACUAUGGUAACUACCAUAGAGAUACCCUGGUAAGAUUUUUUACUAUUACACCAUCCGUGCAUCAUUUUGCACACAUCUAAAACUAGUACAUCAUAUCAUUGCUAACUACGAAGUUAUUACUAUGUUUUUCAACAGAUAAUCCCGAAUGAUUGUGUGCCUCAUCUGAUGUAUACACACGAUAGCCUUCAUGUUUUGAACAUACAACCAGGUCUUCCUACGAAUCUGAACUGUCCAUACCGGGUUCUAAAAGAAGUGGAGACAUGACAAUCAAAGAAUGGAAGAAAUGUAUGGACAGUCAUAAGGAGCUUCUUGGAAGGGCAAAAAUUGGAGACAGGAUUAUCGCCAUUCUUCAUAAUGGAGAGUCAGGGUCUAUAUUGUUUUAUGCUAUUUUACCUUAAGGGUGUUUAGGUCCUACCUGAUACUGAUGAUCAUGUGCUAAGAACAAUUAUGUAGGGUUGGGUUCGAUGACUAUGAGGAUGAUGAUCGUAUGCCUUAUUAUUAAUAACGAGUAGAAGUUGUAUGAUGAUGCAUGAUUAGUAGGACGAGUACUUGUUAUUAUAUAUGCUGAUGUAUGCGAGCAUGCAUGAGUUAUUAUAUCAGCGGGUAAAAUGAACAUAUAUAGCAGCAGCGUUGGUAAACCAAGGACGAAGAUAUAAGAGAGGACACUUCUCUCUAUUAGCUAGCUAAUAUAACAACCUAAUUAAAAAUAACCCCCAAAACCCCUAAAGCAGCCACUUUCCAAAAAAACAUGGACUUUUGGUCCCGGUUGGUGCCACCAACCGGGACCAAAGGCCCCCUGACUGGGCUCGGCGCACAGGGCCACGUGGAGGCACAUUAGUCCCGGUUCUUGUUUGAACCGGGACUAAUGGGUGGAGGUAUUAGUAACGACCCAUUAGUCCCGGUUCAUGAACCGGGACUAAAGGCCCUCACGAACCGGGACUAUUAGGUGUUUUUCUACUAGUGGGGUGUUGAGGGACUACAGGGUCGGGGUAGCGAUGAUGACCAUCUCAGGGAUUGUUGACCACAAUCCCGCUGGAGUGUGUUCCCAAAAGCGAUGAAGCACUUAUGGCGAUGAAGCACUUAUUUUGGUCGAUGACUGGAGUAGACCUCAAAGACUCGAUCGGUUGUCCGAACAGCAGGACGGGGUUGUCGGUGUUGGGCUCAUCUUCUCCUCUUGCCGAGACUCGGCGGAUCAGCUCUCCAUGAGCUGCAAUCAGAUCAAGAGUGAUCUGAUCGAACAGAUCCUCUAGUGCACUUACAUAGCGCACCAGAUGCAACAACGCAGGAUCCGUCUCGUGAUCUCCGUUGGCAACCUGGGGUGGCCUACCAUACCCGUCACGGCUGGGGUAGUAGUAGAACGAGCGGCAGUUAACUCUGGGCGACAAGUGCCGGAGUUGAACUACAGCCUCUCGAGCAGCUAGUUGGAUGGCUUGUGGCUCAAAGGAAGUUGUCCUUCCGGUGAACCUGUAGGGGCGUUCUGGCGAUAGACCCCUACCAUAGACGUGCACGGUGGCCCAGAAUUGACGGCUCUCACCACCCAUGGGUCCUAGGUACACAAUGCAUUAUGGGGGUUCUUCUAAUGCAAAGGCACAUCGGGUGAGGUUCGCAAGCACGGUCACAAAACCUCCAAGGUUGGUUCCUGUGGUCUCGUUGUGCACUACGGGGCCAGGCAUUAUGGCUUGGUUUGGAACGAGGCUGUGCUGUGUUGGGUUGAGGCUAGCGUAUCCUUUUUAUAGGAAAAUGGGAUGGAGUCUUCCUUGCCAGGUUAGGCUGAUAGAUUGGGCACCGACUGCCAAAAGUGUUGGGGUCACUAUGUGGCUAUCUUGCACGAGAAGCUUGGCCGGGUUUAGGUUAUGGUCUGGUGGAUUGGUUAACCUAGGUUUAUUGACCUGGCUGAGAUAGGAUUAGCCAAUGGUCAGCCUGGCUCUGAUACCAAGUUUGUCACGACCGGUUUUCCGGGUAUUAAUUUCCCAGAAAAUGGCCUUUAUGCUCACCAGCCCUAGGAUUACUGUUAGCUGAUGAGGCACCAACUUGUUACAAAAACUCCAAGCAAAAAUACAUAAUAUGUAGUACAAGACCAUUCUGGCCUAUGAGUACAACAUAAGGUUGCUAGUGGUUGAUGGUGGAAGCAGUUUGUGGAUCAUCAGCGUUAUGGGACUCCAUUGCCCACAGGAACAGCUGACCAGGUUAACUCCUAUCUUCGCGAGGCUGCUAUCAUCGUUGCUUAGGUUCCGGGGCUGUCAUCACAAUGCUCCUCUCUAUGCAAGAAAUCUGGCCAAGACAAUAGCCAGGGACAAGCCAGUGAGUACUUUGAAUGUACUCGCAAACAUUAUGAACACGGGUAUAAUAUAACAAAUCAUGCUCUAAUAUAUUCUAUGAUCACAACAUCAGUCAUAAAAUGGAAUCCCUAAUGCAUGCAAGUAGGUUAUUUAUAUGCAACAUGAAUAUGUAAUAGCAGAGUAGUAAUAAAAUGCACAGGUCGGGUGUCUGAAGCGACGCCUCGAAAGGAUAGUAAAUAACGAGCGUGCCUCAGUCGGGCGUCUGAGCAACACCACAUAAAGGGCUUAUAAAGUAAAUAAAUAACAGCAUGCAACUGUCGGGCGUCUGAGCGACACCACAUAAAGGGCUUAUAAAGUAAAUAAAUAACAGCAUGCCACAGUCGGGCGUCUGAGCGACACCACAUAAAGGGCUUAUAAAGUAAAUAAAUAACAGCAUGCCACAGUCGGGCGUCUGAGCGACACCACAUAAAGGGCUUAUAAGAAAACAAUCAUAGUGAAUAUCCAGGAGGUAAAACCGUCCCAGGGAUACUCAAUACUUCAAAUAAUAUAAAGGGGUUAGUCCAUAAUAAUAAUAAUCAUAAUCAUCAUAAGUCACAAGUCACGAUCCAUGUUCUGGUUUAGCAGUUUUCUCCUCCGAAGACCGACACUAAGACCGACACUUGACCCAACCCAGACUGUAGUCCUUAACCAUGGACACGGCUAUUUGAAUAGAUGUUAAAUCCCUCCAGAGGGUGUACUCUUUACCCACGAGUAACGGAUUCCUUUAGUCCAUUGGGAAUAAUUCCGUCUACGGUAUUUUAAUUGAAAACACACCUGACUUGCACACACCAGCUUAACUUACAGUUGUCUAGAAUCACCCACGACACCUGUCAAGCAAAACUCUAAGUGGGGAGGCUACAACCUCGCGUAGCAUGGGAUCAAAUUUAUAUAGCACGCUCUAAGGGGUGGCCUCCCCUCUCGGUACCAACCGGAAACACCCAUGCCCCUGACCGGAUGACUGGCUUUAAUCCAUGUCCAUGGUACCCUCAUCCCGGCCCCUCUGUACGGUGUGUGCUAGAAAGGGGUUGACAACUUACUGAACCGUACCCUGCCUGUGGCAGGGACAAGUGGUAGUACAAAACAAGUGUGGGGGUUACCAGAAAAAGACUCGAUCUAUGGUCGACUCAGGAGGUUUAAGUAUUCCCUGCAUGAUUAGCAUAACGAAUAUAUUUCACCCAACAGACAGAAUCACCAUUCAUCAUACCCCAUCAUGCCAUACCGGGCACAAUCGUCUCGACGAGGAACUAGGGACAAGCUCAGGUCUACCCAAGACAGAGACUUUCCCGGCUUCCUUCCGAUGGGUAGGAAAAGCAUCUGAGGAUUAUUACUGUCACAAGCAUGACCAUUUCCAACAGCAAGGAAAUCUCCAAUAUGCAUGAGAUCAUUAAUAUGCACUCAUGAGUUUGAACAUAUCAUCACAUAAAAUAACGGACACUCCGUGUCGAGGUGGUAUUGUAACCGCGUCAGACAACACACACAAAAUUAUGCCCGAGUUCAGAAUGUAUGCAAGAGGGGUGCAUAUAUGAAAAUUGCCUUCUUCUUCAAAGACCUAUUUUUGAAAUUAUUCAAAUUGACACUUUGAUUCAAAAUAGUGCAAAAAAUUUGUCUGAAUUGUUUUCAAAUAAAUCUUAAAAUAAACUAGAUUAAAUUUGAGAGAGGUGGGAAAAAGAAUCAACUCAUUUGGAGUUUUAUUUAAAAAGAUAUAGUCAGUUAAAGUUUAGUCAAAUUUCUUUUUUUAAAUAAAACGGAAAAAAAAGAAAACGUUUCGAGCGUGUACAUGUCGAACACGUACUCUGGAAAUAUGCUUCCACUUACGCCGCCGUGGACCGGCGCUGGGUCACUAACAGUGGGCCCACCUGGCCCACUUGUCAGGUUUGACUAGUCCACGCGCGUGUCGUCACCUCCGACCGAACAGAAGCGGAGCUCUGGCGAGGCUCGCCGGCAAACGGAGGCCUCCCUUGGGGAUAUGAGGAUAUGGGUGUGCUCAGGAGGUCGAGGCGAACCCGUGGGUACCCACCAUGGUCGCCGACGUGGACGGAGUCGCCGGCGACGAGCUCCGCGGUGGAGAAGGCUUCGGGUGGAAUUGGGGUUCCGCGCUAUGGUGGCUCUCGGUCAAGGCUGAAGGUCUGGGCGGCUCCGCAAGAUCAUGUGGAGUCUGGUGGUGGCGUUGGACGGACGAGAGGGGCUCUGGUUGCGGUGAACGGGGCUGGGACGUGGCAGCGGCCGAACCGGCCGGAGUCGGGGAAGACGGCUUCCCCCCGACGAUUGCUGACUGUGGGGGUGCCAUGGGGGUGGCCUGAAGUCAUUUGAGUGCUCAGAUGAGCUCGGGGGCCUCCUUUUAUAGCGCGAAGAGGUCGGUUCCGCGGCGGUGGAUAAGGAUGCCGGCGACCGCAGUUCUGUAGCUUGCAGGGCACCGUGUCGGGGUUAGGGAUGGCGGUGGGAGCUAGCGGACAAGCGGGCACUGCUUCAGGGGCGAGCUGGCGAGCGGGAGUGGCUCGGGCGGUGCCGACCAGUGCAGAGGCUGUCGGGCGGUAGUGGCGGCUAGCUUCUGGCUUACCGGAGACGUGGCGAGGGGUUGUGGUGCUCGUGAGGGGGUACAGGUCGAGGCUUGGCCGUACGCUGCGAGCGGCAGAGGGUUUGGAUAAGCUCGGGGAACAGGCCAGGGGCGCGGCGGCUCGGGCGCGGCACGUGCAAAACGCGCGCUCUGGGAUGAUUAGGGAUGGAGUAGAAAACACCCAACUGGGCCAGAAUGAAAAGGAGGUUCUUUCACUCAAUUUUUACAAAGAACAAUCAUUGGUUUUUGCAUAAAAAUGAAUUACAAGCACCUAUGACAUCUCCAAAUUUUUAUACAAUUUUUAAAGAAAUAUUUAAAUAGGUUGUAGUGCAAAAUUGCCGACUGGACCAGAUUUUAAAACUUGAUGUAGGGCUCAAAAUAUCCAGAGAAUGAAAUAUAUUUUUGCAUAAAAGUGAUCUAAAAACAUCACAUGAUAUCUCCAAAUUUUGGUGGGAUUUUUAAAUAAAUUUAUCAAAGGGUUGUAGUGCAAAAGAGGCCCUGAAACUUAUAAAAAUCAUUUUUAAUGAAAAAAAAGGCUCAGGGAAAAAUAAUUAUGCAAAUAAUCCCACUGAUAAAAGAAAUUUUUUUCUUGAGAGGGAAAAUAAGUCCAACUAUGAUUGAAAAGUUUUCACUUGGGGUAAAAACUCCAUAAUAAUAAAGCAAAGAAUGGUUCUGAAAUCAAAAGGAAAUCCAGAAAAUAAAAGUUUAUGUUUCCUGGCAAAAUUUUAAUUAAUAAAUCAAGAUUAAAUUUUUUGGGGUGUCACAGUUUUCUGUUAGAUUUUUGAGGAUUUUGAAAAUGUUUAACGGGGUUCCCCCCGUUAAGAUCGGAUGUAUUUUUAACGGGGUUCCCCCCGUUAAGAUCGGAUUGGUAAUAUAUUCAAAAAGGAAGGUGGUAUUUUUAACGCCUCAUAUAUAGAUCACUUAAUAACACCAUGUACAAAACUCAAGGUGUAAUGUUGAAUUAUGUUCUAUAGAGAUUUAUUGUGAAUAGUCAUGCUAAUACACCCCAUGAUAUGGCAUUGUUAUUAUUUUUAGCAAAUCUGCACUGAUAUUUGCUUAGCUAGUUAACAUCACAGUUUCCUUUAUUGGAGCCUUGGAGUAGUCUAUGCACAUUGGACACCUGCACAAUUUGCCAACAAUAUGAGCCUCCAAAUUGCAUUCCUUGUUCUCAGGGCACAUAAGGAUUCGGUGGCAAUCUUCCUGACAACCACCAAACUUCUUUAGGUAUUUAAACGUCCACCUUCGGUUUGUAUUCGCAUCUGCGAAAUACUACCAACAAGAAGAAAUCCAAAUCAUGAAAAGAACAGUUUUGUUGAUUGGGUUGAUGCAACACUCUUGGAGGAACCGAUUAAACGUACUUGAUGCUAGCACGAGAAAGGCGAGUGUCAGGAGUAGCAUCAAAGCUGCAAUCUUCAUCCUAACUUGUAUGUGGCGUUGGUAGGAAAGUGACUGCUUGUGAGCCUUGAGGAAGAGAAAAUGAUAUGGCAACCAUUUUUAUAGUAGGUUUGAUAUUAAUGCUCAUUAUUGUAAUACAAAAAUAGCAUGAAAAGAAAGAUUGGAUAAGUUAUGUCGUAUUAAGAGCAAUUAAGUGGACUUCAGGAUAAGAUAUGUACAGACGCUUUAUAGUAGAGCAAGGAAACAAAAUUAAGAGAUUGCACAUUUGAGCAGACGUUUUCACACGAAAAAGAUAGAUAAAAGAAAAACAUCUAUCUAUGCAGUUACUAAACUCCCUUGAAAUAAGGUGAAUCCAGGGUGUGAAAAGUGCAUGGGCCCUGGGUGAGGCGUGGUGGUGGGAAGCUAGGUCCCUUGCGUGUCCAGUUUGCUUGUGUACAUGCGCAGUUUGUUUGCUGGUCCCUUGCAUGUUGGUUCAUCUAGUAAAGAAAGAAAAAGGCCGUUACCACACCCAGCUAAUAAAAGAAUCUCAAUGAGCAAAACUCAUUGAACAAAGAAAAUGUUAGGAAUAAAUUAGGAUGUGUAUAUUAUAUUAAUAACUAAAAUGUAUUAAUUAACGAAUCAUCAUUCUUAUGACCAAUCCAAAGUAGUGAUGUCCCUUUUUCUUUUAACAUUUAUAAUUGCCAUUUCUUGGAGGCAGCUUCUCCCUAUGUAUAGAUACCUUUUCUAUCAAUGGAAUUAGAGAGGGUAGCUCUCUCUCUCCCUCCCCUCACUAUUUUACUUGCAUUUUUCAUAUAUAUGUUCUUUUACUUUUAUUCAAAUUUACCUCCGUGGUCAAACUUCCCGAAAGGUCACCCAUCCUCCCACUACUCCAGCGCAAGCACACUUAACUUCAGAGUUCUAUCCAACCCCAGCACCAGCUCACUUCACAGGCACUUGUUGAUAUAUCUAGCAUAUCAAUCCUAUUAAACCUUGUUGAUGUUUAGGACUUUGUUCAUUUUCAUGAGUAUGAUGAAAUUUUGAACAAUUAUUUCAAACUUCCGUUCAUAUUACGUAUCAUAUUUUCAAAAAUAAAACCCGAAAAAGAAUUGAAACUAAUUUUUUUUGGUUACUAGUGGCGCACCUAGCAAACGGUGCGCCACUAGUAAGUUAGAAAUUUUUUGAAAUUUUUUGCCUCUAGAUCACUUAAUAACACCAUGUACAAAACACAAGGUGUAACGUUGAAUUAGGUUCUAUAAAGAUUUAUUGUGAAUAGUCAUGCUAAUACACCCCAUGAUAUGGCAUUGUUAUUAUUUUUAGCAAAUCCGCACUGAUAUUUGCUUAGCUAGUUAACAUCACAGUUUCCUUUAUUAGAGCCUUGGAGUAGUCUAUGCACAUUGUACACCUGCACAAUUUGCCAAAAAUAUGAGCCUCCAAAUUGCAUUCCUUGUUCUCAGGGCACAUAAGGAUUCGGUGGCAAUCUUCCUGACAACCACCAAACUUCUUUAGGUAUUUAAACGUACACCUUCGGUUUGUAUUCGCAUCUUCAAAAUAUUAACAAUAAGAAGAAAUCCAAAUAAAGAAAAGAACAGUUUUGUUGAUUGGGUUGAUUCAACACUCUUGGAGGAACCGAUUAAACGUGCUUGAUGCUAGCACGAGAAAGGCGAGUGUCAGGAGUAGCGUCAAAGCUGCAAUCUUCAUCCUAACUUGUAUGUGCCGUUGGUAGGAAAGUGACUGCUUGUGAGCGUUGAGGAAAAGAAAAUGAUAUGGCAACCAUUUUUAUAGUAGGUUUGAUACUAAUUCUCAUUAUUGUAAUACAAAAAUAGCAUUAAAAGAAAGAUUGGAUAAGUUAUGUCGUAUUAAAAGCAAUUAAGAGGACUUCAGGAUAAGAUAUGUACAGACGCUUUGUAGCAGAGCAAAGAAACGAAAUUAAGAGAUUGCACAUUUGAGCAGACAUUUUCACAUGAAUAAGAUAGAUAAAAGAAAAACAUCUAUCUAUACAGUUACUAAGCUCCCUUGAAAUAAGGUCUCCUAGUGAAUCCAGGGUUUGAAAAGUGCAUGGGCCCUGGGUGAUAGUGGGUGAGGCGCGUUGGUUGGAAGCUCGGCCCCUUGCGUGUCCAGUUUUCUUGUGUACAUGCGCAGUUCGCUUGCUGGUCCCUUGCAUGUUGGUUCAUCUAGCAAAGAAAGAAAAAGGCCGUUACCACACCCAGCUAAUAAAAGAAUCUCAAUGAGCAACAAUGAUUGAACAAAGAAAAUGUCAGGAAUAAAUUAGGAUGUGUCUAUUAUAUUAAUAACUAAAAUGUAUUAAUUAAUGAAUCAUCAUUCUUGUGACCAAUCCAAAGUAGUGAUGUCCCUUUUUCUUUUAACAUUUAUAGCUGCCAUCUCUUGGAGGCAGCUUCUCCCUAUGUAUAGAUACCUUUUCUAUCAAUGGAAUUAGAGAGGGUGGCUCUCUCUCUCUCCCUCCCCUCACUAUUCUACUUGCAUUUUUCAGAUAUAUGAUCUUUUACUUUUAUUCAAAUUUACCUCCGUGGUCAAACUUCCUGAAAGGUCACCCAUCCUCACACUACUCCAGCCCAAGCACGCUUAACAUCAGAGUUCUAUCCAACCCCAGCACCAGCUCACUUCAGAGGCACUUGUUGAUAUAUCUAGCAUAUCAAUCCAAUUAAACCUUGUUGAUGUUUAGGAUUUUGUUCAAGUUCAUGAGUGUGAUGAAAUUUUGAAAAAUUAUUUCAAACUUCCGUUCAUAUUACGUAUCAUAUUUCAAACGGUGCACCACUAGUAAGUUUGAUAUUUUUUGAAUUUUUUUGCCUCUAGAUCUUGAAAGCCCUGUAACUUUUUUUCUGUUAGGUUUUUGAGGAUUUUGAAAAUGUUUAACGGGGUUGCCCCCAUUAAGAUCGGAUGUAUUUUUAACGGGGUUCCCCCGUUAACAUCGGAUUGGUAAUAUAUUCAAAAAGGAAGGUGGUAUUUUUAACACCUCAUAUAUAGAUCACUUAAUAACACCAUGUACAAAACUCAAGGUGUAACGUUGAAUUAUGUUCUAUAGAGAUUUAUUGUGAAUAGUCAUGCUAAUACACCCCAUGAUAUGGCAUUGUUAUUAUUUUUACCAAAUCUGCACUGAUAUUUGCUUAGCUAGUUAACAUCACAGUUUCCUUUAUUGGAGCCUUGGAGUAGUCUAUGCACAUUGUACACCUGCACAAUUUGCCAACAAUAUGAGCCUCCCAAUUGCAUUCCUUGUUCUCAGGGCACAUAAGGAUUCGGUGGCAAUCUUCCUGACAACCACCAAACUUCUUUAGGUAUUUAAACGUACACCUUCGUUUUGUAUUCGCAUCUACAAAAUAUUACCAAUAAGAAGCAAUCCAAAUCAUGAAAAGAACAGUUUUGUUGAUUGGGUUGAUGCAACACUCUUGGAGGAACUGAUUAAACGUACUUAAUGCUAGCACGAGAAAGGCGAGUGUCAGGAGUAGCGUCAAAGCUGCAAUCUCCAUCCUAACUUGUAUGUGCCGUUGGUAGGAAAGUGACUGCUUGUGAGCCUUGAGGAAGAGAAAAUGAUAUGGCAACCAUUUUUAUAGUAGGUUUGAUAUUAAUGCUCAUUAUUGUAAUACGAAAAUAGCAUGAAAAGAAAGAUUGGAUAAGUUAUGUCGUAUUAAAAGCAAUUAAGUGGACUUCAGGAUAAGAUAUGUACAGACGCUUUGUAGCAGAGCAAAGAGACGAAAUUAAGAGAUUGCACAUUUGAGCAGACGUUUUCACAUGAAAAAGAUAGACAAAAGAAAAACAUCUAUCUAUACAGUUACUAAACUCCCUUGAAAUAAGGUCUCCUAGUGAAUCCAGGGUGUGAAAAGUGCAUGUGCCCUGGGUGACAGUGGGUGAGGCGUGGUGGUGGGAAGCUCGGUCCCUUGCGUGUCCAGUUUUCUUGUGUACAUGCGAAGUUCGCUUGCUGGUCCCUUGCAUGUUGCUUCAUCUAGCAAAGAAAGAAAAAGGUCGUUACCACACCCAGCUAAUAAAAGAAUCUCAAAGAGCAAAACUGAUUGAACAAAGAAAAUGUCAGGAAUAAAUUAGGAUGUGUCUAUUAUAUUCAUAACUAAAAUGUAUUAAUUAAUGAAUCAUCAUUCCUGUGACCAAUCCAAAGUAGUGAUGUCCCUUUUUCUUUUAACAUUUAUAACUGUCAUCUCUUGGAGGCAGCUUCUCCCUAUGUAUAGAUACCUUUUCUAUCAAUGGAAUUAGAGAGGGUAGCUCUCUCUCUCUCCCUCCCCUGACUAUUCUACUUGCAUUUUUCAGAUAUAUGAUCUUUUACUUUUAUUCAAAUUUACCUCCAUGGUCAAACUUCCCGAAAGGCCACCCAUCCUCACACUACUCCAGCCCAAGCACGCUUAACAUCAGAGUUCUAUCCAACCCCAGCACCAGCUCACUUCAGAGGCACUUGUUGAUAUAUCUAGCAUAUCAAUCCAAUUAAACCGUGUUGAUGUUUAGGACUUUGUUCAUGUUCAUGAGUGUGAUGAAAUUUUGAAAAAUUAUUUCAAACUUCCGUUCAUAUUACGUAUCAUAUUUCAAACAGUGCACCACUAGUAAGUUUGAUAUUUUUUGAAUUUUUUUGCCUCUAGAUCUUGAAAGCCCUGUAACUUUUUUUCUGUUAGGUUUUUCAGGAUUUUGAAAAUGUUUAACGGGGUUCCCCCCAGUAAGAUCGGAUGUAUUUUUAACGGGGUUCCCCCGUUAAGAUCGGAUUGGUAAUAUAUUCAAAAAGGAAGGUGGUAUUUUUAACACCUCAUAUAUAGAUCACUUAAUAACACCAUGUACAAAACUCAAGGUGUAACGUUGAAUUAUGUUCUAUAGAGAUUUAUUGUGAAUAGUCAUGCUAAUACACCCCAUGAUAUGGCAUUGUUAUUAUUUUUAGCAAAUCUGCACUGAUAUUUGCUUAGCUAGUUAACAUCACAGUUUCCUUUAUUGGAGCCUUGGAGUAGUCUAUGCACAUUGUACACCUGCACAAUUUGCCAACAAUAUGAGCCUCCCAAUUGCAUUCCUUGUUCUCAGGGCACAUAAGGAUUCAGUGGCAAUCUUCCUGACAACCACCAAACUUCUUUAGGUAUUUAAACGUACACCUUCGGUUUGUAUUCGCAUCUGCAAAAUAUUACCAAUAAGAAGAAAUCCAAAUCAAGAAAAGAACAGUUUUGUUGAUUGGGUUGAUGCAACACUCUUGGAGGAACCGAUUAAACGUACUUGAUGCUAGCACGAGAAAGGCGAGUGUCAGGAGUAGCGUCAAAGCUGCAAUCUUCA